rnacentral:lncRNA from 1 species
UUUGAGUUGGGAAUGUCUGUGAGGGAGUUUGAUUCGAUGGACUAAGUUCUUCAGAAUUUUGAGUUGGGGAUGUCUUUGAGGGAGUUUGAGGGUCAUCUCUAUCUUCACCUUCUUGUUGCCCUUUUAUAAUUUAUUCAUCAUCUUUAACUAUUAAUUCUUGUUGUUGUUGGUACUCUUCAGACCAGUACCACGAUGCAUCUUCAUAAAAAAUAACAUAUAUACUGAUCACAACCCUUUGUGUUGUUGGAUCAUAUAAUUUGUAAGCUUUUGAUUCUUGACUGACCCCCAAAAACACACACUUAUGACUCCUAGCAUUCAGCUUAUUUCGGAAUUGACCAGGUACAUGAACGUGGCCUAUAAAGCCAAAUAUUCUGAAAUGCUCGACACUUGGCUUUAACCAUGUCCAAAGCUCUUCUGGUACUUUUUCAUCCAGACUCCUACUUGCACAUCUGUUUAUCACAUGGCUUGCCCAUCUGGUUGCUUCCGGCCAGAAGAUUGUGGGUACAGACUUUUCAGCUAGCAAGCAUCGGACCAUGUUUAACAAGAUCCUGUUUCUUCUCUCCGCGACCCCAUUUUGCUGUGGAGUGUAUGAUGCUGUAAGUUGUUGCUUAAUUCCCUGUUCUUCACAAUGUAUUUGAAGUGAACUCUCCACCCCUAUCAUUUCUCAGACAUUUAAUCUUCAUGCUAGUUUCGAUUUCCACCAAUCUCUUAAAACUCUUAAACACUUCAAAGCUUUCACCCUUUUGUGACAGGAAAUAAACCCAACACUUUCUAGUGUAAUCAUCUAUAAACACAAGUAUGUACCUUUUGCCACUAGUAGAGACUGGAGUGAUAGGAUCACACAAAUCUGUGUGUAUUAGCUGCAACUUCUAUGUUGCCUGCCAACUGCUCUUCUUUGGAAUUGGAUCUCUGUGUUGCUUUCCAAUAGCACAAGUUUCACAUACACCAUGCUUCUCUGUAAUUGAUGGUAGCCCUGUCACCAUUUGUUUGUACAACAUGGUUCUUAUGGCUUUGUGGUUGACAUGCCCAAAUCUUUUGUGCCAAAUUUGAGUGUUAGAGUCAACACUCACUUGCAUACAUUCAGCUUGGUGCGACUGGGGUGUGACAUAGACAGGAAACAUCCUGUUAUUUGUCAUAUUUGAUGAGAUGAUCAAACCUCUUGUUGGGUGGAAAACUCUACAUACGUUUCCUUGAAUGACAAAAGUCAGAUACUUCUCUUGGAGCUGCCCAACGCUCAUGAGAUUUGAUGUUAGAGAUGACACAUAGUAAACUUUAGUAAUCCCCUAUGUUAUAUUGCCCACAAUAAUUAAAAUAUUCCCUUUUCCCUUCACCUCUAACUUGUGAUCGUUUCCCAGUCUGACCUUGUGUUGAUACGUCUCAUCAACGUGGAUAAACCAUUCUUUAGUACCCGUCAUGUGAUUUGAACAAGCUGAAUCAAGAAACCAGAGCCCUUUCUUAUUGGUUUUAUCUUCUUUUCCUGUGGUCAUCAUCAUCUCAAUUUCUUUCUCAUAUGCUUCAAUGUCAACCGCCUCCAUCAAUAAUAGUUCUUCAUUAUCUUCAAAUUCGACAUAGUUUACUUGUCGAGCAUCAUUCGGACAUUCAUAUUGAAAAUGUCCAAACUGAUGACAUCUAUAGCAUUCAAUUUGAUACUUAUCGAAUUGAACCUCGUUUUCGCUUUGUGAUCUUCCUCAUCCACGCCCUCUUCCUUUAGCAGUGUUUCCUCUGCCUCGACCCCUUCCUCGUCCAGAGUUGUGGUCGUGUUCCACCUUCAGCACGUGCUCGUCAUUCACUUUUCUUCUAAUUUUUUGUUUGUGAAUCAACAGGGAACUCUGGAGUUCAUCUACUGUCAUGUUGUUGAUGUCUUUUGACUCUUUGAUUGUACAAACCACAAAAUUGAAUUCUUUUGUCAUGGUUCUUAGCACCUUCUUUAUGAUUUUCACUUCACUCAUGUCUUCCCCUGCAUUCCGCAUAUCAUUUGCAAUCACCAUGACCCGCCCAAGAUAAUCGGUGACUGUUUCUCCAAAUUUCAUCUCUAGCGUCUCAAAAUCCCUAUGAAGUCGUUGUAGUUGAGCCCGCUUCACUCUGGCAUUUCCUUUAUAUUUCAAUUUCAUCGCGUCCCAAAUUUGCUUUGUCGUCUCCUUCUGCUUGAUCAUCUUUAGAAUCGAUUUGUCUAUCGAUUGGAAUAAAUAGUUGCAAGCUUUCAUAUCUUUGAGCUUAUGUUCUUCAUAAUUUUUCUGUUGUGUCGUUGUUGAUACUUCUCCUGGUUUGAUUGUGUGAUACCCUUCAUCCACCACUCGCCAAUACUCUUUUCAUCGGAGAAGAUUCUCCAUCACCAUACUCCAAUGGUCGUAGUCUCUGUCAAAUUUGGGUAUACUAGGGCCAUGAAACUGUCCUGUUUCCUCCCCCAUAACAGCGAUUUCUUGCUCCUCUCAGAACCUCUCGUGAAUGGAAUUAUGAUCUGAUACCACUUGUUGAAACAAGUGAUAAAAAGUAUGAAUUGACUCACAGUUUCUGAUAAUUAUUAUUGAGAGUGAAGGGACUUUUUAUAGCCAGUACAAAUUAACAACGGAAAAUAAACAGGAAAAACUGAGAGCUAAACAGAAUUGACUAACGUUCUCUAAUUUCACGAAAAAGAACGGGGAUGACCAGGUAAAACAGGUUACCAAAUCAACGAUUCAUGGCUUGGGCCUUAUUCGAACUGGACUCAACUAAACUUGGGCUAAUAAAAACAAACGGACUAACCCAAUAAAAUAAGUGCAUCAAGAAAACUUGUAUCAUUAUCAUUCACACUUGGACUUAGAUGAAAUAAAAUCACAACACUUCCUCACCAUUGAUAAUCUAGAUGUCAUUCUCUUGAUUAAUCUCAAGUUUACGAAAACAAUUAUAACUACUUACUAAACUCCUUACCAUAAUAUGUUGAUGUGUAUAAUCACAAACACACCCCCUACUACAAGUGACAUAUAAAAGGCUCUUCAUAAUCUAAAUUGUUAAUAUAUAUAGUAUGAGUGGGUAUACCAUAUGCUUAACAUAGGUUGAAAAACUAAGUUUUAUUUGAUUCUAAUUGAAGUUUACUUCCUAGCAACGAAUCAGCUGCUACCAAACAUUCUUACAUACAACACUCACAAACAUCAUGUAUACAUAUGAAUACAUAAAGUACUAUAUCGUUAUAUUUUCAAGACAUUACCUUCAUAUGCACACCUUAUAACCUUUAUUUCUAAUGUUUUGAAGAUUAUAGCUACCUUUGUCAAUUCAUUUACUUCAUUCACUAAGUCAUCUAGUUUAGGCAACAUAAUUUACAUGUACGGUGAAAUACACUAUAAGGGUGUUUGGCUUAGCUUAUUUAAAAAUGCUUAUAACUUUUUAUAGUUUAUUAACAUAUAACAAUGUAAAAACAAAGUUUUUAAAAUAAGUGUUUGGACUAACUUAUCCAGUGUCAAAACACUAUAAGUUGAUAAGUCAUUUUUUGUGUUUGGCAAAAUGGUUUUCUAAAGACGUUGGACAACUAUAAGUUAUAAGGAGUUUUGAUAAGUUAGAGGUUAGUAACUUAUCAAAAAUGAUUUAUCUCUGGUUUUACAUAGCUAUACACUGUUUUUAAGAAAAACAAUCUAUCCAUACAUUCAUUUUAUUUAAUACCGUUGUAAAACUUGGUAAUAAGUUAGAAAACUCUUUUUUAAGCUUAAUCAAACAACCUCAUAUUAUUGAAGCUUCACCCAUCAAUCAAACAUAUUUCUUCAUCAUGGUUUGUCCUUCUCCAUCAUAUAAUGCUUACCUUUCCACUCAUUUACACAUCAUACCCCGUAUUUGAAAUCAAAUAAAAAUACUACUGCAUAAUCACACUUCAAUAAGGUCCAAACUCAUUCCAAAACAUUACUAAUAUAAUUCAGAAUAACUUUUGAGUUCUAACAUUGCCUUGUACUUACUUCCAUGAUCUAUGUACAACUCUUUAAAGCACACCCUUAAUAUAUGAAAUUAUCGUCUUUAAGUUAUUAAUUUCAUUUCAUAUAUGGAUGUUACAUUACAAAUGUUCUUUAAAUAUGGUCAAGUCAAAAACAGAAAAAAAAAUCUUCAUAUCAAUUUCACAUGAACUAGAUUAGAUGUUAUGAUAAUUUUAAAUAUGCAAAACACAUCUUGUGUUGUGUGGCACCCAUCGUGGUGACCGGGAGCUAGACAUCAAUAGAGAAUGUUCAUGUAGAAAUGGAAAGAGGUGAAGGAAUAUAUAAAGAAGAAAGCUUGGGAGAAAAAGUAUUACUUUUGGAAAAGAUAAAAAAAAUAAAUGGAGCAUUUGAGGCUAGAAUUAAGGGUAAAAGAAACUUUAAACUUCACUUUUUUUUUCCUACCAAUUCUUCUACCUAUUUAAAUUAGUUUUGGGAAUAUUUUUCUAAAUUUUUCUUCCAACCAAUCCUUCUACCCAUUUAAAAUAUAACUGUGUCGUAUUACUAUAUUAAAAUAUCAUUGAAUUUCAUUAAAUAAGUAUUAAAUGUUACAUAUGUCAUCAUUUAAUUUGAUAGAAGGAUUUGUAGAAACAAUACCAGAAAAUCUUGGAUUAGUUACAAAUUGUGUUAUGAUCAGGAAAUUUUUUAUCAUUGAUUCAUCGCUAAACCCAAAGAAACAGUGUUGAGUUUUGUCGUUAAUCUAAUACUAAAACUUCGCUGACAUUUUUCAUAGACUUUUUGUUAUUAAUCGGUUUCUGAUAAUAUCUCUCUUCAAUAGUCAUUGAUACUCAUAUUUACUGUAGUUAAAAAAGUAAAUCUUCAAAAAUGGUCCUUACAAUUUGGUGUGUUCUUUGGAGUACACUUACAUUUCAAGUUAUAAUUUUCGUCCCUUUAGCUAAUUUGGUCCAUGUCAAUUUGAAAAGCCUAAUUUACCCCUUUGAUUUAAUUUUUACAUUUAUUAACAUUUUUUAAAUCUUUUUUAUAACGUUUGUAGUUAAAUAAAAAGUCAAGGGACCCCUACCCCCCUCUUCCCCAUUCCAUCUGCAUUUCCCCACAUUGAUUCUUCCUCUAGACUGCCAAUGAUACUACCUCAACUCCAACCUCAUAUUCAUCAUCUUGGUUUUAUUUGUGAUUUAUAUUUUGAAUUUUUUUUAUGGAAGUGAUAAGAAAUUGAUGUUGAAUUUUGUUUGAAUCUAGGUUCACAAGAAGAAUGAAUUACAUUGUUUUAUGAAUCUAGAGUAACUACAAAUUCUCAACUCUCACAAGCCUCGAUGCCACAAUGGUAAAAGGUGUUAAUAAUGGCACUUUUGAUUUCCUAUAUUUUGUUUGAUGAAUGUCCAUUCUAAGACUUAUACCACCCGCAACUUAGGAUAGAAGUUAACCUUAAGAAAAAAAAUUCUAUAAAAUUGAUAACUAAUAAUAUUAAGUAAAAUAAAAAUAAAUUAUUUAAGAUUUCAAAUUUGCUUAAUUUCAAUAGUUAAAUUAAAUGUUAGGUGGUAGUUAAAAGUCAAAAACUUUGAAACUAUGACUUAAGGAAAGACAUGUGACAUGUAAGUGGGUUUAUUUAAGUAGAAUAUGGAUUUGAUUUGUAAGAAUUUAAACACCUAAUAUUGAAUUAAAAGAUUCGAGACUAGAUAUGUUAACUAGAAAACCAUCAUGGAGUUAAUCAAAAUUAGAACGUUGAAGGGCCAAUCUUGUUAAUUAUGCAAAUUAAGUAAUGACUUUUAAUUAACUUCUUUAACUAUAUUUUGGACAUAGAUUGCAAUCACUUCAUACGAUGGGAAGCUAGGGGUGUGUUAGUAUCCAAUUUUUAUCGCAAAUCAAGUGAUUGGAAGAAUUAUCGAAGAACCUUAGUGAACCUAUAUCAAAAUCUCUAAGGUGGCAUUUGGUAUAAUGACUAAACUGGACUCAACAUGACUGAACUGGAUAAAAACAAAUUAUUGGAAUUGACGUUUGGCAAAACUAGAAUAAUCAUGGACAUAAUAUUAAAUCACCAAAUUAACCUUGAUAAAAAAAUUAAUUUAAAAAACCUUUCAAUAUCCAAAAACAAUACAAAAUCAAAAGUAGAAGCGUCUUAUAACAAAUUAAGCAUAAGAAUAAUAAAUCAUGAGAUAAAAUAUAGUUUUGGGAAACUGAAUUACUUUGUGACCUUUCAUGGGGAAAGUAAAAAUUGAAUAGACCCAUCUUUAUUGUUUCUAUAUUAUGUCACCAGCUAAACUCCUCGACGAGUACUCUAACCUUCAUCCUUUUGAUUAAUUUCUUUUUCAUUCGAAAGAUUGAAAGUCUGAAACUCUAUCCACGCAGAAUUUUCCAUGAAUCCUCGUCUCUCUACCUUUAACCACUACAUCCUCUCAACCUGACACUCAUCUAAAUCCUCCACUGAGGUGCCUAUCGUUCGAUCCAGAAAAGAAACUCUACUCGAAGGGGGAACACAAUCGGGUGCAGAAAACAAGAAAAACACUAUGAGUCGAGAUCAAGAUUUCUCCUCCCAGUAUUGCUCGUAAUAGGUGAUAAAUUAUUAAUGUAUGAAUUUUUGAAUAAUUAAUUACAGGGAAUAUGUGCUGAAUAUAUAACAAUUUACAAGAGGAAUUAUAGGAGCUACCAACGUGGGAAUAUUAAAUACAGACAACUAAUUUAUGUAACAUAAUUAUGGAGAAGAUUGAGUUUUGAAGAUAUGAUUGGGUCCAUGAUUUGUAAUCAUGAGGGAUGAUCCAUAAUACGCCCCCGCAAUAUCCAGGCUCCGUUGGAGACUCCGACCUUGGUUCGAAAUUUUUGGAAUGGGCCUCGAGAUAGUCGCUUCGUGAGUGUGUCAGCUGGUUGAUCUUUAGUGCUAAUGUGAUAGACCCGUAUGAGACCAACUGCAACUUUUUCCCGAACGAAAUGAUAAUCAAGUGCCACAUGUUUCAUACGCGAAUGGUAUACCGGGUUUGCACAUAGAUAGGUUGCUCCUGUGUUAUCACAAUAUAAGUGUGGUGUGGUAGGAAUUUGAACAUGUAAUUCGUGUAACAAGUUUUCUACCCAGACAACUUCUAUAGCAGCAUUUGCAAGUGCUUUGUAUUCAGCUUCCGUGGAGGAUCGAGAUACCGCCAUUUGGCGUGUAGACUUCCAGGAUAUUAUGUUUGAGCCAAGGUAUAAUAGGUAAGUUGAAGUGAAACGACCCCCAUCAUUGGCAUCCCCUCCACAAUCAGAGUUUACAAACGCAUUAAGUUCUAGGCUGGUUCCCCAAUUUAGAAAUAAGCCAUAGUGUAUGGUUCCUUUUAGAUACCGCAUGACGCGUUUGAGAGCUUGCAUGUGUUUUGUUGUAGGGGCAUGCCUAUAUUGCGACAAAUCUAUUUACCGUGAAGCACAUAUCUGGUCUUUUGAAUGAUAGAUAUUGUAGAUGUCACACCCUCAAACUAGAACGACGAAAACGUCUGAGGGCGGAUGGAGUGAAUUCAUGUACAGUAUCAUAACAAUUGAAUAGUAAUGAAACAUAGCAACUCAAACAUUCAUACAUUGAUAAUAAAAGUUUACAUUGCUUACAACACUUUUUUUAUUCAAAAGUUAAAUACAAAUAACUAAAAAGUGGAAAACAUGAAAUGACGACAUCGACCCUUAAGAAGGGUUGAAUACCUGUCUACUGGUUUCCUGAGAAUACAAGUGAUUUUGAAAAUUGUCAACUAUAAAGUUGGUGAGUUCAUAAGCAUUUUGUAUGAAAAGUGUCAACCAUGCUUGAUAUGACUGUUAUGCCUGAACGACGUUCUUCAGGCGUCGAAAUUGGUAGACUUUUGUCACCCUAGACUUGCCGGGCUAACUAUAGCGAACAACUGAGACGUGGGGUUGUCAAUCCCGUAUAGAUCUAUACACAACUGUCUCGCUCUCCCUCAAGGAGAAUCUGGUUAUACUGCAGGACUUAAGGUGUACGCUAGGUAGGUACGGUGAAGGAACGUCUCAUAAGAGCAUUAACAGAUUUAUGUGAACUAUGACUCCUUUUUCUUGUAAAAUGUAAUAAGUAUAUCUUUGAAACUAUUUAUAUAAUCUUUUAUAUAAAUAUGAAAGUGUAUUUUUUUCUAGUAUGUAAAUGUGAAAUCAAAACAUAAUAUUGUUGAGUUAAAACCCACUAAAUUAGUACGUAACUAUAAUGCAACCACUUUUGCUAGAAAAACUAUCUUUUAGUAAAAGUUUCCAAAAACCAUGUGGUUUCAUAAUCAUAACUUUUGUUAUGAUUUUAUCACCUAGGUUGUGUUUGUUUUAACAUUAUGUAUAUCACAAAUAUUUAUACCAAAAACUAGGAAGAACCAUAACUUAUGCAAAUAUUUUAUCUUUAACAUAAAGAUGAAAAUAUGUAAUUAUAUGUGGGAUAAACAAAGUUUUUAGUUGUAUUCCCCCCCCCCACCCCACCCCACCCCUAAAAACAUGGAAAAACUUGAAAAUAUGGGGGUAUAAACUCACCUUGAUGAUUUCGUGAGUUGAAUAGAGGAAAAGUGAAGGAGAUUUCGAGCUUAGCCGUGCACAACUUAAGGAACACCCGAAAAUGGCUAGUGUUCCAUGGACUCUAGCACAUGAAAAUGGUGUGUAAGCAAGGGGUUAGUAGUAUAAGGAUGUUAAUAAAUACAAGAGAAAUAUGAGUUACUUACCAAAUGAAUAGGGCUUUCAUGAAGCAAAGCACCCUCCUUGAAGAUGACACUCAAAAUUUUGAGAGGAAGAUAAGAGAAAUUCUUGAGAGUAAAGUGAGUGGGAAAGCUUUUGAGUGUGUGUGAGGGUGUUUGCGGCCGAACACUCCUUAAANGUGGUUGCUUUCCUUGUUAUUUGGUGGGUAAUUAGCUUAGAGACAUGGUGGAUAAUUAGCAUAGAAAUAUGGUGGUCAUUAGUACAUAUGCAUAGAUAUAUGAUGGUUAACUGUAUUGAUGUUUGUGGGGUAAAGAUGAGGUGUCACAACCUUCUAGAAUUUCUUUUCUCUUUUUUUUGUCUACUCCCAACCAAAAUCCAUAAGGUUUUUGGCCCUUAUGGCAUUUUCAUGGGAGUUUUCAGUUUUAGGGUGGCCGAAAACACACUUCCUUAGGGUUUUCGGUUCUAAGAUGGCCUAAUAAUGUAGGUUUUCAGUCAAGGGUUGCUCUAGAUUAAUGAUUUCGGUCGUUAGGCUUAUGGUCUUGGGUGAUUUUGGUUUUACUCUCCCCCACAAAGGGGUUUUCGGCCUUAGUGGGGUUCUAGGCCAUAAAUCAUAAGGAGAUGUUUAAUUUGUGAAAUCUUGUUGACUUAUAAAAUAAUGCCCUUAUGGCUUUCAAGAGCUUAUUGCAACAAGGUAACAUGGUGACUUCAUUUGUACGGGGUUACAAUCUAGACUUUGCUUCAUCCAAAUCUUUCGGGUUGUCACAUCAUCCCCCCGUUAGAGGGAAUUUCGUCCCAAAAUUAGCUUCUUGGACGACUCUUGCAACUAGGAGAAAAGUUGCGGGUAACUCUGUUUUGGCCUGGUUUCUUCAUUCCUAUGAGAAUUUAGGUCCUUGCUCGGUGUUCCAGCCGACCCUCGCUAUUGGUAUUUGACCUUGCUCUUUUGGUUUCCCUGUCCAUGAUUCUCACAUGUUCCUCUUUGGGGUGUAGGUUCUUGUUUACCUUGAUUUCGUCGAGUGAGAUUACAAGAGCUCCGGCGAUUAGGUACUUAUUAGGGUUGGUUAUGUGGAAUGUGGGAUGUACGAGGCUGAGUUCUUGUGGUAAUCAAAGUCUAUAGGCUAUCGGACCGAUCUUGGCGAGGACCUCGAAUGUUCUAAUGAUGUUUGUGUAGUAGACACCCUAGAGGUAGUGUUUCUAGAUCUUAAGGAUAGCACUAUUUUCACCAAGGUUAAUGUUGAGUGUGGUGCAACUGGCUUAUGAAUCUUAGGUUGUCUUGGAGGUUUCUUCCUACGGAAUUCUGAGCUAGUGGUAUGCCGACUUUGCUCGUUUCUUUGCGGUUGGUAGAACGGAUCGUCAGUUCGGAGUGGAGGAUAUUGGUCCUUGGCGAUGGGUUUGUUUGACUCUUGGUAGUCAAUUGUCCUAUGAAAAAUUCACCCUCCUCCUUAUGAGUCAGACGGGUGCUCUCUGAGGCUAGAGGCUUGGUCUGAUAAUUUCCUUACUUAAUAGAUCGCUCCAUCGACCGGACACUUUCUGUGUUCAUGUUAGUACUAAGUGGCAUUGGGAUUUGGCUAUGGGAAUGGCUCCAAGAGUCGAGUCGAUUCCGAACUCAUCUUGACACAUGGGUGAUACUUCCGAAAGGACUUCGGGAACAUCUUAGGGAGGUUGUAAACCUCUAAGAUUUCUUUGAGGUCUUUUUGCUUAUUGUUUCUAAAUUCUAUUGUGGGCUAGGAAAGAGCGUGGUACCUUUUACAUAGGUACUUAUGAGUCUCGAUGCAAGAGACAAUUCGGAUGUAUGUUGUUAUAGAUUGAAAGAGUUUCGUUAAUCGGUUGGGUAAGGCGAGGGAUCUCUUUGCAUUGCCUGAAAUGGGUAUGGUGAGGAUCAAGUCAGUCCAUGCCAAAUGAUGACGUCAGACUUCUUAUCGUAAUGGAUGUUAAAUUGAUUUGGAAGGGAUGAUUGUUAAGAAUGAUUGUGUGUUCUACGUACAUGCUUUUGACGCGACCAAUUUCAUCCAUGUUAUUACUACUGUGGAUAUUUUUUUACUGGAAUUAGGGUGUACUAGCAGUACAAGUACCUUGAUAAUUGAUGAUGAAAUUUUGUAGUACGUCUCCUACUAGGUUUCCCUAUAAUAGUUUGGUGUAACCUAGUCGUAUAUAAUUAGGAUUAAAAAGACAGUCGACUAAGUAGCCCUGCCCUAAGUCCACAACCAGACAAUGAACAGGAAUUAAGGCGGAAUCAUGCACUAUAUGUCUAUAGAAUCUUAAUUUUAUAUGACCCUGCAAUUACACUAAGCCAUCAUAGCUCAACUGCAAGGAUCUUUAGUUUUUCUUUGAAUGAUAUGAUUUGUUCGGAUGAGGGAGCAAUUUAUGAUUAUGCUUUUAAUUGGAAAAAAAUUUUGGUGAAAAUUCGAUGAUUAAUUUUUUUAUUUUUUGAAAACGUACCAAAAAUCCCAGUAGGGUUCCUUAUUGCUUCAUCAUGCGAUGUUGUAAAAACUCCUUCCGCUCCUCCAUCAUUCCUCUCUGUUGGACAAUUUUUCUUGAAUGUCCCGUUUCACCGCAUGUGUGACAUACUGGACUUACUCUAGCUUAGGGGUUGCAGCGAUGCAUUGGGCUGGGGUCUUACAGUGGUGGGCGGUGUGCCCCUUCUUGUUGCACCUAUUGCAAUGCAACUUCCGGUAGAUUCCAUUAUGAUGGAAUUCGCACUUGUUGCAUUUUGGGAGGCUUCCAGCAUAUGGUUUUCUCGAUGUUGAGGUAUUAGGUUCAGUGGGGGUAGGGGUUGCACAGCUCAUUGCCUUUUGGUAGGUCCUUGAGUCAAUAUGCCCCCUUUCUCGUUCCAGGGCUUUCGUUUCAUGUUCUUGGAUUUUUGGUUUGGGGUGUCCUUGUAGGCAGCCACUCAUAGGUGCCCUUGGUUAUUAUUACGAUUGGAAUUGUCGACACAGAUUCCAUUUUCGUUUAUGUUUAUAGCGUUGAGUUGUGUCAUGACGGUUGUCACAGCAGCUGUCACUAUGGCUUGAAACGUAGCAGAGUCUAUCUACAAGAUUGGUGUCUUGCUGGUUGGCUGCUUGUUUCCAUGUGAUGGCAUGAUUUUGUUGCAUUGGCGAGAAACGAACUCGUAAGUAACUUUGGUCGUUUCUAGUUGUAUCUCAUCUAUAUACAUUUAUGUAUACACGUAUAUAAGUCACAUGUUUUGUUGUAUGAUUCCCAAAAGUUUCAACCAUAUUCUCAAAAUGUACUUAUGGUGAUAAGUAGUAGUAGAUUGUAACGACCCAGUUUUCAAGACCAAAAAUUUCUUUUUCAUUAACUAACUCAUAAAAACAUUCACAAGAAAAUACUGUGAAAUCACAACAUCUCAUAAAACAAUGAAUCGUGUCUAAAAACCCAAGUCAUAAAAUAAGAGAUUGUCAGAGUACAAUCCCAGAAUAUCCAAAGUGCGGAAAACAAUGAGUGUGUGUAUGAUGUGCCGCUACCGCGCCAGCUCCUUCCCCUUCGCUGAAGAGGUACCUGAAACCAAAACAACAACUGUAAGCACGAAGCUUAGUGAGUUCCCCCAUCAUACCGCAUACCAUGCAAACACAUAGCAUACACAUAUUGUCAGGCAUAUAGGGGUGCCCGACCUACCCUUUCAGUCCUCUCGACCGGAUACUGCCUAGCAUACCUGGGUGCUGGCCUCCCCUUCGGUCCUCUCGACCAGAUACUACCUAGCAUAUAUGGGUGUUGGCCUCCCUAACGGUCCUCUCGACCGGAUACUGCCUUGCAUACCUGGGUGCUGCCAUCCCCUUUGGUUCUCUCGACCGGAUGUUGGGGACUAUUUCACCCCUCUACUACUACCACAUAGCAUGUAACACGUAACCAUAUUCUAUCUAGUAUGACUGGGUAUAACCACCACCUUUGGCCCUAUCGACCGGUAACCUUGGGGACUAUCUCCCCUACUGCUACUACCAUCUAAUAUCAUAUCAUACUAGCUCGUAACCCAUCAGGUAGUAGCCAACCUUGAUGAAUAUCACAAAGACAAUCAUCUAACAUAUGACUCCUACUGGUGGGCCGACAUUGUGGCCGUAGACCCACCGCUACUCGAAGGUAACUCAUCUCGAACAAGUAGUUGCUGAUAAUCUGUGCGGAAAACCUCUGCUUGCUGCUGCUCCGAAAGUCCUCCGACUAUAUUCCCCACAAAACACUCAGUCAGAAACUGAUAUCUACUCUUAGGGUAAAAUGACUAUUUUACCCCCAACCAAGUCCAAGUCAAAUUCAAUCUUCCAUUUGACCCGACUCGCCGAGUUGGGCCGUCAACUCGUCGAGUCCCUUUCCUUUACUCGUCCUUAUCCACGACUCGGCUCGUCGAGUUUGGCAAUGACUCGACGAGUUCCCCUUCUUUAUGAACAUAAAUGAACCUUCAUCCGACUCGCCGAGUCGGAUGAACACUCGUCGAGUUCACCUUCAUCUGAUGAACAAGUCCUGACCCCGACUCGCCCAGUUGUAUGAACAACUCGUCGAGUUCAUCUUCAUCCAUAAGAAGAUUGCCUUGGACUCGCCGAGUCUGAUCUAGUACUCAUCGAGUCCCAUGAACUUCAGGUCUAAUACUAAGUCAAAUGCGUUGGGUCACACUUUCAGUCCUGCUACAACCCUUCUAACACCCAACUGAUUCCUUUUGACCCUCAACAGAUAUGGGACUCAAAGCCUUGGACUCAUCGAGUCCCAAGAACGGACUCGCCGAGUCAAUAACGUCCAUGCUCUAUUUCCUCGAUUUCUGAUGUAUAACUUUUGACCAAAUGAUAGAUCCAAGCCCCUAAGAUCGAUGUAGCACGUAAAAUUUCGAACUUUACAUGCAUGCAUGGGACUUUUGAGCCAAAAGGCUCUAAAAUGACUCUUGUGAUGCAUGGGACCUUCCUUGGGUGCAAAAGCAACCCAAAUCUGCUUUAUGACUCCUUCCAAGACUUAGAUCCGAAGUCUUGACCCCCAACCAUGUUUGCAAUCAUGGUUGGACACCUCAUUUGGCUUAAAAAGCCCUAAAUCUUCCCCAAAAAGGGAUCUAACAAAUGAACAAGCAAGGUACAGACUUUAUACCUUUCAAGGACUGGAAAUAAUGCACCAAACUCGAAUCCUUCAGUCUCCUCUUGAUCCUUCUAUGCUCUUCCUUCCUUGAGGUCAAAACCCACAAAAAUCACUCAAAAGACUUAGAUCUUGCACCAAAACACUUAGGGUUUACUAGGGAGGGAUUCUGGGAGCAUUAGGGACGAGUGGUGGCUGAAAGAGAUGAUUAAGUAGGGUGAAAACCCUCAGAUUAGGGCUUUGUCCCAUCAGAGCUUACCCGUCGAGUCCGGGACCUGACUCGAAGAGUCCAUCACUUAAAUCCCACAUCCCAUCCCGCUUCUACUCGGCGAGUUGGUCCUUCAACUUGCCGAGUCCAAGGCAAAAAAUACAAAAUACUUAAAUAAAUUACAUACCAAGAACCAGGUGCUACAAAUCUCCCCCACUUAUUUUAGACUUCAUCCUCGAAGUCUGCUGCUCGCUCCUGGAACAGCUCCAGGUAAUGCUCCAUCAUCUCAUCCACCGGUUCCCAAGUCCAUUCCGAGCCCUUUCGAUGUUGCCAUUGCACCUUCACUAGUUCAACCCUUUUGUUCCUCAGAUCCUUCGACUUCUGGUCGAGGAUUGCUACUGGCCGCUCAACGUCAUUCAUGUUGUCAUCAACCUGAGUUUCCUCCAAGGGUACCACUGCUGAGUCAUCCACCAGGCACUUCCACAGCUGAGAGACUUGGAAAGUGUUGUGGAUCUGGCUGAGUUCGGCUGGCAGAUCCAACAUGUACGCCACCUUGCCCACUCGGGCUAAAACCCUGAACGGUCCAAUGUACCUGGUGCCCAACUUGCCCCGUUUCCUGAGUCAGAUGACGCCCUUCCAUGGAGACACCUUCAGGAGAAGCAUAUCCCCAACCUGGAACUCCAGGUCUGAUUGGUGCUUGUCGCAUAACUUUUCUGCCGACUUUGAGCAGUCUGAAGCCUGCUCCGGACCUGCUGAAUGCUCUUUGUCGUCUUGAGCACUACUUCGGUGCUCCCCAUUACCUUUUGGCCAACCUCGCCUCAACAUAUCGGGGUCUUGCACCUCCUCCCAUAAAUCAUCUCGAAAGGACGACGGUCAAUGCUUGCAUGAUAACUAUUGUUAUAGGAGAACUCUGCUAAUGGAAGGUAGGUAUCCCAACUACCUCCGAAGUCUAACACACAUGCUCCAAGCAUAUCCUCCAAAGUCUAGAUGGUCUACUUGCUCUAACCAUCCGUCUGCGGGUAAAAGGCGGUGCUAAAAUGCAGACGAGUACCCAGCUCGUCAUGAAACUUCUUCCAAAACCUGGAAGUGAACCGCACACCUCUUUCUGAAAUCACUGAUACUGGCACCCCGUGCCAUGCCACAACCUCCCUGAUAUAGAUAUUGGCCAACCUUUCGACCGAAAUACUCUCCUGAAUCGGGAUAAAAUGGGCGCUCUUGGUCAAUCGAUCAACGAUGACCCAAAUCGAAUCCACUCCCCGUGCGGUCCUGGGAAGCUUUGUGAUAAAAUCCAUCGUAAUAUCUUCCCAUUUCUACAGCGGAAUAUCCAACGGUUGCAUCUUGUCGUGUGGCCUCUGGUGCUCGGCCUUGACCUUCCUACAAGUUAAGCACCGCUCCACGUACCAUGCUAUAUCCCGCUUCCUGCAGGGCCACCAAUAGUCCAGACGAAGAUCCCUAUACAUCUUCGUCGCCUCGGGAUGAAUGGAGAAUCGAGAUUGGUGCGCCUCCUCCAUCAGAACCUAGUGCACACCCCCGUGGUACGGCACCCACACCCUACGGUGUAAGGUCAACAAACCUCGGCUAUCAUAAUCAAAAGAGGAAACCUGGCCUAUAAUCCGCUCACUCUUCCGAUGUUCCUCCUUCAUGGCCUCCUGCUGGGCCUCUCGAAUCUGCUCCAACAGUGGAGUUACCACAGUCAUCCUCAGACAGAUAUCCGUGAUCGGAGCUGCCUUGCGAAUAAGCGCAUCGGCCACCAUGUUGGCUUCUCCCGGGUGGUAAAGGAUCUCACAAUCGUAAUCCUUCACCACAUCCAACCACCGACGCUGCCUCAUGUUUAGAUUCGGCUAAUCCAUGAGGUACCUCAAACUCUUACGGUCCGUGUAGAUGGUACAACAGACCCCAUAGAGGUAAUGACGCCAAAUUUUGAGGGCAAACACAACAGCCCCAGCUCCAAAUCAUCCGUUGGGUCGUUCGCCUCGUGAGGCUUCAGCUGCCUCGAAGCGUAAGCAAUAACAUGUCCUCUCUGCAUCAAUAUUGCGCCCAAACCCGAGAUGGAUGCAUCGCAGUAUACAACAAAAUCCUCCAUUCCCUCCGGCAGGGCUAAGAUCGGUGCCUCACACAAUCUCUGCCUUAAUGUCUCGAACGCAGCCUGCUGCUCAGGCCCCCAACGAAGACCACGACUUUCCUCGUUAGCCUGGUCAGUGGUACGAAUAUCUUGGAGAAAUCCUGGAUAAAUCUUUGAUAGUAGCCAGCUAACCCCAGGAAACUCCGAAUCUCAGAUGGAGACCUCGGAACCUCCCAUCUCAUCACGGCCUCCACUUUGGCCGGGUCCACCGAUAUCCCGUUCUGGUUAACAAGAUGCUCGAGAAACUGCACCUCGUGCAAUCAGAACUCACACUUGGAGAACUUAGCAUAUCCCUACUCAAAGUCUCCAGAACCUCUCGCAGAGGCUCCUCGUGCUCCUCAUGCGUCUUGGAGUAAACCAAGAUAUCAUCAAUAAACACUAUCACAGACCGGUCUAGCAUCGGUCUACACAUGCGGUUCAUGAAGUCCAUGAACACGGCAGUAGCAUUGGUGAGCCCGAAGGUCAUCACCACGAACUCGUAGUGACCAUAGCGCGUCUGGAAUGCAGUCUUCUGUAUAUCUUCCUCUCUGACCCUCAUCUGAUGAUAUCCUGAUCGCAGAUCAAUCUUGGUGAACCAAGAUGCUCCUUGUAGUUGGUCAAAGAGGUCGUCAAUCCUCGGGAGUGGGUAACGGUUCUUCACCGUUACCUUGUUCAGCUCCCGAUAAUCUAUACACAUCCGAUGCAACCCUUCCUUCUUCUUAACAAACAGGAUCGGGGCUCCCCAAGGUGAACUACUCGGCCUGAUAAAUCCUUUUUCUAGCAGCUCCUACAUCUCGGGAGGAGCCAACUAAUACGGUGCCUUGGCUAUCAGAGCCGCACCAGGGAGUAGGUCGAUCCUGAACUCCACCUGUCUCUCCGGAGCUAUCCCAAGCAACUCCUCGGGGAAUACGUCCACGAAGUCUCGCACGACCGAAACAUCGCUCACCAUCGCCUUACCCGCCUCCUGGGUAUCCAUGACAUAAGCGACAUAUCCUGCGGAACCCUGCUGAAGGUAGCGCCUCGCCCUCGCUGCCGAACAUAAAGCUGGCCCUCGUUGUGGCCUCUCGCCCUGAAUCACUAACUCUCCCCCUCCUGGGGUCCUGACUCGCACCAACUGUUGUGCGCAAUCUAUCACUGCCCCAUUGGGGCUUAGCCAAUCCAUGCCGAUAAUAACUUUGUUCCCCCACAAUGGUAUGGGAACCAAGUCUACCAGGUAACGCUCCUCGAACAAUCUCAAAACACAAUCUCGGAAGACCUCUGAUGUUCGCACUGACCGGUCGUCCGCAAUCUCAACCUCUAGAGGGCAAUCCAACAUGCCCGAAGACUCAAGGAACUUCUUGCUAAGCGCAAGAGAGACAAAUGAUUGGAUAGCACCUGAAUCAAACUAUACCUGAACUGGAAUACCGUUCACAUGGAACGAUCCUAAACAAAGCACAUACAUAACAUAGCAAAAUCACAGCAACAUAUCAUAAUAGCAUAAAUAAGAAGUAAUACCCAUCACCACAUCGGGUACAGCGCGUGCCUCCUCGAUGGUCAACUGGAAGACCCGACUCCUCACCACUGGAGCCUCAGUCUUGGCUUGUCGUCCAUCGGUAAUCCGCAGGGUCGCUAGGGCUGGCGCCUUCACCGGCGCUGCUGCUGUCAACUGAGGGCAAUUGGCCUUCUUAUGGCCCCUUUGGUUGCAGUGGAAACACAUCAACUCUGAUAUCUGAAUAGUAGGCGCGGUGGCGGUACAGUCCCUGCUGAAAUGCCCCAGCUUGCCGCACUUAUAGCAGCCUGACGAUCCCAACUUGCACGCUCCCUCGUACGUCUUGCCGCAUUUCCUGCAGCGGCUUCGCCCCUGUUGGCCUUUCUCCCCAGCGUCUGAUCCCUUGGGCUUCUUCCCUGAAGCCCCAGUCACCUGCCCUUCCUCGGCCUUCCUCUUCCGAACAUGCUCCAGAUCGAUCUCCCUCUCCCUUGCCCUGGCAAUCAUGGAGUCCAGGGUAGGGCAAGGGUAACACCGUGAAUUUCAAAAAAAAAAUCGCAUAAUAUAAAACCACAAUUUCAUUUAACAUUCAUAAAAACAUCAAUGUUUGAAACUCAAUCCAUGCUAUAUAAUAUUCCUAAGAUCUGAUAAUAUAAAAUCCCGUGUGUGUGUGCGGAUCAAGCCGGCGCCUUCCCACGGUCAUCACUAGUUCCUGAAAUAAAUAACACCAACACUGUAAGCACAAAGCUUAGUGAGUUCCCCAAAAUACCACACAUAACACAUAUUAGCCACUCGAGGCUAUAACUCUGUGGGUCCGUGGACCCUACUCUGUGAACCCUCUAGUUCUAACUCUGGGAACCUUCCAGUUCCAACUCUAUAAACAUGCACAGCAUAAAUCACAUAGAAAUAAUGCAGUACAACACAUAACAUACAUAUAGCAUACAAAUACUCUGUCACAUAACUUUGAUUACCUACUCAAGGUAAAGUAUAGUGAGAAGACUCACCUCGCGUAUCUCGAUAACUCGCAAAUCCCGGAAAUCACUCGCGCUCGAUCCUCCGAGCUAUAAUCCUCCUAUAACACAAUAUAUCUCUAAUUAACACUUUCACAACUAAGGUUGACUAACCCUAUCAAGUCAACACUGGUCAACUCUGGUCAAUGGUCAACGGUCAACUUUGACCGGACUCGGCGAGUGCACUAGAGCGACUCGGCGAGUCUAUACGUGUUCACUGACUCCCUCGGAUCCUCUCUUGACACGUCGAGUACUUCCCUAACUCGACGAGUUCCACCUGGCAUGAAUCGCGGGGCCACCACGACUCAACUCGCCGAGUCUCAAGAACAACUCGGCGAGUUCCGGCUUGACUCAGCCCCCUAUUGACUCUCCCUGACUCACUGGGUCAUCCCCCAACCCGGCGAGUCUACUCGCUGAACAAUUUACGUGAAACCCCGACCCUACUCGCCGAGUCUCAAGAACAACUCGGCGAGUUCAUGCCAUGCACAAACUCUAUUGACCUUCUGAGGUCAGAUCUGCUUCCCCAAACCAUAGAUCUGGCCUUCCCAAGCAUGAAUGUCACGUAAAGUUCGAAACUUGAUGCUUGUAUAACCCCCACAAGGCAUCAAAAGGAGAUUUGGUCCCAAAAAUGACAACCUAGGUCCAAUAACUCCAUAAUAACCCAAAAAGCUCCAAGGGUUAAGGUCUCUGGACCUCUUUGAGUCCAGAUCCAAGGCACAAACUCGAAGAGGAACCAUUUGCUUCACAUAAUCACCUUCCAAAGGGGUUAUAAAACCAUAACUCUAAACAUCAACCCUAAAACUGAAGGAGAUUCGAACCAUUACCUCAAAAUGAAGCCUCUGGACUCUGGAUCUGCUGGAAUCUCACCUCCUCCUUGCUCUUGCCACCUUCUUCUUGCUAAACAAGGAAUACAAAGGCCCAAAAGUGACUUCCUCUCUCCCAAAACGAAUUAGCUCUCUUAGGGUUCUCUCAAGGGACUGGUAGCCGCAAUGGGAGGCUAUAAGUGCCCUUAAAUAGGCUCCAAACCCGGGGAAUUAGGGUUUCAUUAAACAACGUGGACUCGCCGAGUCCAGGCGCGAACCCGCGUCCAAAACCGCGUUCCUACUCGGCGAGUUCGAGCUCCAACUCGCCGAGUCUCCUUACAAAUCUCCAAAAAUUAUAAGAAUAACUAAUACUUGGGAAUCCGGGCUGUUACAAUUCUCCCCCACUAGAACUAGACUUCGCCCUCGAAGUCUCGCUCCGCAAAUAACUCCAGAUGCUGCUCACGCAUCUCACGCUCCGGCUCCCAAGUCAUCUCAGACCCCUUCCGAUGCUGCCACUGAACCAAAACCAAGGGCACCUCCUUGUUCCUCAGAACCUUGAUUUUCCGAUCUCUGAUUGCCACUGGUCUCUCAGCAUAAUUCAGGCUCGCAUCCACCUGAAUAUCCUUUAAUGGAACCAGUGCCGACUCAUCGGCUAUACACUUCCGCAGUUGCGACACAUGGAAUGUGUCGUGAAUCUGCCCCAACUCUGCUGGCAAAUCCAAACGAUAGGCUACCCGUCCUACCCUCGCGAUCACUCGGAAUGGACCAAUAUAACGGGGCCCCAACUUGCCCCUCUUCCUGAAUCGAAUCACCGAGAGACCUUCAGGAGUACAAGGUCGCCGACCUGAAACUCAAGCUCGGACCGGCGUCUGUCUGCAUAACUCUUCUGACGACUCUGAGCGGUCAACAACCUCUGUCUGACCUGCUGGAUCUGCUCUGUCGUCUGAAGCAUGAUCUCUAUACUGCCCAUCACACGCUGUCCGACCUCUCCCCAGCAAAUGGGGGUCCGACACCUCCUCCCAUACAACCGCUCAAAGGGCAGCAUACCAAUGCUCGAAUGAUGGCUGUUGUUGUAGGAAAACUCCGCCAAGGGCAAAUACAUAUCCCAAAUUCCCCCGAAAUCCAACACACAUGCCCGGGGCAUGUCCUCGAGCGUCUGAAUUGUCCGCUCACUCUGUCCGUCUGUCUGGGGGUGAUAUACGGUACUAAAAUGUAGCCGAGUACCCAACUCCUCAUGAAACUUCUUCCAGAAUCUGGAAGUGAAACGCACAUCACGGUCUGAAAUAAUCGAGAUCGGCACCCCAUGCCGAGAUACCACUUCCCCCACGUACACCUCUGCCAAUUUCUCUGCUGAAGAACUCUCGCUGAAAGCAAGAAAGUGAGCGCUCUUCGUCAACCUGUCCACAAUCACCCAAAUUGAAUCAACUCCCCUGGCAGUCCUUGGCAAUUUGGUUAUUGUUGGGUUAUGAGCAUUCUAACACUCCUAAGUGUACAUGCAACCCUAAAUACCUUCGAUCUAUGUUUUCUCUAUUAUACAUACAAAUAUGAACAUCCAAGGUAUUAUCUUAAUCUACACUACUAGAAAAAUAGCCUUUUACGACGCGCAAAUUACGACACUCAUUAAUUUAUGUUACGCAAACGAGAGUGACAUUAAAAAAGUGUCAUCUCUUCAGAAAAUUUAAGGAUUUAGGUCACGCAUUAUUGCGUGCCUUUAAAUUAGUGUCAAAAAAAAAAAAAAUUAAAAACACGGAGGGCGCUGUACCUUAAAUGCGCGCCCUCUAUAUGUGUCGCUUUAUAAUUUUAAUGAACGCGCGUUCCUUAGUUACAAGCGGGAAAAGAAAAGCCAAAAAAUUAGAAAAGCCCGCUACCCUCCCUGCCCUAAGCAUUUUCACGCAUCUUUCAUUCUCCUCACACUGUUGUGCAACUUCUCAAUCAAAGAUCGAAGGUUACGAUUUCAUCUCCAUCUCUCGACUUCAUCAUCUCAAUCAAGAAAAAGGGCUUCUGAUUUCCAUUCAUCUACUUCAUCGUUGCUGUAAUUUCACCUUCUUCAUCUCUCUGCUGUUAUUGAGAAUACUCGCCAAUAGUUUUCUUAUUCCCCACUCGAUGUUGAAAUUUUCAGAAAAAGCCCUAAUUAAGUAUUAUACUCUCAAGUCUCAAUAUUAGAAUCCAAAUAUUAAUUCUCGUUUGUUUCUUAUUCCCCACAGAUAAAAAGAAAAAGGGGAAUUAGAAUGACGAAGGUAGCGGGAGUUUUGGUCCGGUGGUCGUGGUUCAUCUAUCGAGAAAGGAAGAUGGGAACGCAAGCAGCCAUGGUGGCUCGAUGAUGGAAAUCAAUCGAGAAAGGGGAAGCACCUCUGGUGUGGGAUCAAUUUGACAAAAAGAGAAGGGAGAAGCAGCGACACUUCUCGCCACCAUUAGCGCCGCCCAAACUCCAACUCCAACACCACCGUCACCGCCACCAGCNNNNNNNNNNNNNNNNNNNNNNNNNNNNNNNNNNNNNNNNNNNNNNNNNNNNNNNNNNNNNNNNNNNNNNNNNNNNNNNNNNNNNNNNNNNNNNNNNNNNCACAUACGCCACAAAACCCUUACAGCCCUGCUCUAGACACUGCCUUGCCCUAGAGGCCGAACAAAAAGCUGAUCCAAAACGUGUACCCUCGCCGUACACCGCAAGAACUCCCCUACUAGGGUCUCGUAUGGUCACCAGCUGUCGCUCGCAGUCGAUAACCGCACUAAAUCUGCUUAACCAGUCCAUUCCCACAAUGACACAGACAUCACCCAUUGCAAUAGGAAUCAGAUCAAUUGGGAACUCAACACCAAAAAUCUCGACUAUGCACCCGCGGAGAACCUGCGUGGCAUAUAUCACCCUCUCGUCAGCUAUGGAAACUCUCAGAGGCCGACUCGACGCCUUACAACUAACACUGAUAUGCUGACUAAAAGCCAAAGAUACAAAAGACCGACUCGCACCCGAGUCAAAUAACACCAAGGCAGGUACAGAAUUCACAAGAAAAGUACCAACACAUAGCAUAAUAUAAGCAUAAUAUCUCAAAAUCAAAAUAAAUACACGAAAGAAUACAUACCAGUCACGACAUCAGGCGCUGCGCGGACCUCCUCCGCGGUCAACUGAAAAGCUCUCCCUCGUGCCCUCGGCGCCUCGACCUUCAUGGGCUGACUCUCGGUAGCUCUGAUGGAGGCAGGGGCAGAUCCCUGAGGUGCUCCCUGAGAUGAUCCUCGCAAUUGCGGACACUCUGCCUUCCGGUGUCUAGUCUGGUUGCAGUGGAAACACACCGCAAACCCCUUGGGGUAGUCCUUGGCCAUAUGCCCCUCCUUGCCACACUUGUAGCAAGAUCCCGCUCUACAGACUCCNAUGACCCUUGCCACACUUCCCACAAGUGCGGCCCUUCUGGCUCCCUGGUUUGGGAUCAGCGGGCUUGGCCCGCUUGGCUGCCGGCUGAGACUACGCCGGUCGCCGAUCCCUCCCUUGAGACUCCACCUCCUCCCUGGCCUGAGUCUCUAGCUCAAUCUCCCUCUUUCGGGCAUUUGCCUGAAGCUCGUCAAAUGUCCAGUACGAGGAGUUCGCCUUGAACUCCUGAAUGUCUCGCCUCAAGAUAUUCAAAUAUCGGCUCAUACGUGCCUNCGUGCUCAGGGCAGAACAUCACCCUCUCGUGGAACAUCCUGGUAAUCACCGUAACAGACUUAGUACCCUGUUUGAGGGUCAGAAACUCCUGGGCCAAACGCUCCCUCUCCACCUGGGGAACGUACUCAUCUCGGAACAUGGCAGUGAACCUCUCCCAGGUCACUGCCGCAAGCUCAGCAGGCGUAAAGUGCACCGUCACAAACUUCCACCAGUCCUUCGCUCACAAGCGCAGCUGGUUCAGCGCGAACCAAACUCUCAAAUGCUCAGGAGAUGAGCAAGUGAAGAAACACCCCUCUAUGUCGGAAACCCAUCUCAUAGUCGCCACCGGGUCCUGGGUCCCAUCAAACUCCGACGGUUUUGUGUUGCUGAACUCUCGGAACAGUAACACAUCACCACCCUGCGGCCUCACGGCAACAAUAGUUGCGGUGGCCGCCGGAACAGCAGCCUCAGAAAGAGCAGCAUAACGCUCGUCGAAAGUCUCAAUCAGCGUGGUCUUAAUAGACCCGAACAUCUCUGGUAUCUCUGCCCUGAUGGCCGCAGCCACCUCCUCAUGGAUGAUCCGGCGGAUCUCCUCAUCACUGGUCUCACUGCUCUCAGGCAUCAGACGUGUCCUCACCAUGAUCUACCUCUGAAAUACAACAUACGAUAAAUUAGAAUCCAUUCGAGCAUACUCACACUCGACAACUCAUCCCUCCUUGAUCCUUGGUAUUCCAAAGAUUCCUACUUGGGCUGUACACCGCUCCGGUGCUUUCAGUAGUACGGGCCCAAUACCACUGUCCACACCGUAUCAGAAUACACCCCAAGUCCUCCUCUUCGGAUCCCAAAUUCCAAGUACUCUAUCAUGUGUAAUCCACUCUCUAACAGAUCCCUCAUAAGCCCCUCGCUGCUACCUACUCACUCUCAAGCAUCUCAUAGCAGCUCACCUCUUCCUAGGCUAAGGCAUCACAAAUCAGGCCACUCUAGUCCUAAUAGGAAUACCUAGCCUACUCUAGCAUGCGAAUACAUCAUAUCAAUAUCAAUAUCACAUAACAUGAGGGUAUUUUGGGAAAUCACCGUUCGGGCGCGGACUGAUCGUACACACAACUCUGCUCUGCGUUUUUCCAAAAAUCUUUUACUCUUUUUGAAAAUACUUCUCAAAUCCUCAGUUUGAGUUCAAAUACGCCCGAAGGUGUACUCGAAUCCCUCAAACCAAGGCUCUGAUACCAACUUGUAACACCGUAAAUUUCAAAAUAAUUUUUCGCAUAAUAUAAAAACAUUUUCAUUUAAUUUUCCUAAAAACAUCAAUGUUUUAAGACUCCAAUCCAUAUCAUACAAAAUCCCAAGAUCACAUAUCAUAAAAAUCCCAUGCGUGUGUACAGAUCAAGUCGGCGCCUUCCCACGGUCAUCACUAGUACCUGAAACAAAUAACACCAACACUGUAAGCACAAAGCUUAGUGAGUUCCCCAAAAUACCACACAUAACACAUAUUAGCCACUCGAGGCUAUAACUAUGUGGGUCUGUGGACCCUACUCUGUGAACCCUCUGGUUCUAACUCUGGGAACCUUCCGGUUCCAACUCUAUAAACAUGCACAACAUAAAUCACAUAGAAAUAAUGCAGUACAACACAUAACAUACAUAUAGCAUACAAAUACUCUGUCACAUAACUCUGAUUACCUACUCAAGGUAAGUAUAGUGAGAAGACUCACCUCGCGUAUCUCGAUAACUCGUGUAUCUCGAUAACUCGCAAAUCCCGGAAAUCACUCGCGCUCGAUCCCCCGAGCUAUAAUCCUCCUAUAACACAAUAUAUCUCUAAAUAACACUUUCACAACUAAGUUUGAGUACCCCUAUCAAGUCACCACUGGUCAACUCUAGUCAACGGUCAACGGUCAACUUUGACCAAACUUGGCGAGUGCACUAGAGCGACUCGGCGAGUCUAUACGUGUUCACUAACUCCCUAGGAUCCUCCCUUGACAUGUCGAGUACUUCCCUCACUCGACGAGUUCCACUUGGAACGAAUCGCGGGGCCACCACGACUCAACUCGCCGAGUCUCAAGAACAACUCGGCGAGUUCAGGCUUGACUCAGCCCCCUAAUGACUCUCCCUGACUCACUGGGUCAACCCCCAACCCGACGAGUCCACUCAUUGAACACUUUACGUGAAACCCCGACCCUACUCGCCGAGUCUCAAGAACAACUCAGCGAGUUCAUGCCAUGCACAAACUCUAUUGACCUUCUGAGGUCAGAUCUGCUUUCCCAAACCAUAGAUCUAACCUCCCCAAGCAUGAAUGUCACGUAAAGUUUGGAACUUGAUGCUUGUAUAACCCCCACAAGGCAUCAAAAGAUGAUUUGGUCCAAAAAAAUGACCACCUAGGUCUAAUAACUCCAUAAUAACCUAAAAAGCCCCAAGGAUUUAGGUCGCUGGACCUCUUUGAGUCCAGAUCCAAGGCACAAACUCGAAGAGGAACCAUUUGCUUCACAUAAUCACCUUCCAAAGGGGUUAUAAAACCCUAACUCUAAACAUCAACCCUAAAACUGAAGGAGAUUUGAACCAUUACCUCAAAAUGAAGCCUCUGGACUCUAGAUCUGCUAGAAUAUCACCUCCUCCUUGCUCUUGCCACCUUCUUCUUGCUAAACAAGGAAUACAAAGCCCCAAAAGUAACUUCUUCUCUUCCAAAACGAAUUAGCUCUCUUAGGGUUCUCUCAAGGGACUGGUAGCCGCAAUGGGAGGCUAUAAGUGCCCUAAAAUAGGCUCUAAACCCUGGGAAUUAGGGUUUCAUUAAACAGCGUGGACUCGCCGAGUCCACUCCUUGGACUCGCCGAUUCCAGGCGCGAACCCGCGUCCAAAACCGCGAUCCUACUCGACGAGUUUGAGCUCCAACUCGCCGACUCUCCUAACAAAUCUCCAAAAAUCAUAAGAAUAACUAAUACCUGGGAAUCCGGGCUGUUACAGGAAGCUGAAAAACUAACAUGCUCCCGAAUGUCGGCUCGCAGCAUUUCAUGGUAGUGGGUCCUUCUCAUAUCCUCAUCUCCGGCGUACUGGGGUACUAACAACGCCCUCUCCCGGAACUUGGCGGUGAUCUGCGCCACAGUCUCCGUAGUCUGCCUCAUGUCCAAAAACUCUGUAGCCAGCUGCUGAAGCUCUACAGCUGGCGCAAACUCUGUCCUGAAUCUGGUCAUAAAGUCUGACCAGGUCAUAGCCUCAACAGUCGAGGCUCCCAAUGAGUCACCAACAGACUCCCACCAAUCUCUAGCUCUAUCUCUCAAACACCCUACUGCAUAUCUCACCUUCGACCCCUCGGGGCAGAAGCUGGUUAGCUGUGUAGACUCAAUGUCUGCAAUCCAUCGUCUGGCAGCAAUAGGGUCCUUUGCCCCAUGAAAAUCCAGCGCACCACUACCCCUGAAGUCAUUAAAGGACAAUGUGCAGGAUCCUAACUGGCUGGUCGCCAUGUCACUCCUGAACGCCUUAAGGCGAUCCUCCAUCAGCUCAACAAUCCCUUCCUUGAUCGAUCCAAAGAUGACCAGAGUCGUGUCAAGGAUGCCUCUAGUGAUCUCGGACGCUAUGAAUUCGCGUAGCCUCUCAUCCACUGGUUCGGAUCCUGAACCCGAACCCGAUCCUUCUCCUGAGCUGCCAACUGUUGACCUCGAACGUAGUACCACCAUUCUGCAAUACAUCAUGACAACCGUCAGUGAUACUCUUCCUUGAUCGAUCCAAAGAUGACCAGAGUCGUGUCAAGGAUGCCUCUAGUGAUCUCGGACGCUAUGAAUUCGCGUAGCCUCUCAUCCACUGGUUCGGAUCCUGAACCCGAACCCGAUCCUUCUCCUGAGCUGCCAACUGUUGACCUCGAACGUAGUACCACCAUUCUGCAAUACAUCAUGACAACCGUCAGUGAUACUAGUGUUGGAUUAGUGACUAAGUCCAUAACUAUUUUGGUAUGUACUUGACCUGAUGGUGCAUAGUCCUUUUGGGUUGCCUUCAUCAAAGCAACUUGAUAGGAUGAAUUAUGGAGAGAAAGGAUUAAUUAUGAUUUAUUAAUAUAUUAUGAGAAUAAUAUAUUAAAGGAGAAAUCAUAUUGUUUAAUUAAUAUUAGUUAAGAAUUAAUAAGAAUUAAGUUUGUGGCUAAAAGACAUUAAUUAAACUUAAGGGACUAGAACUGUCAAUUGUGUGAUAGUUGAAUAUUGGGCUAAUGGACUCCAUAUUAAAGGGGUGGACGAAUUCUAUGGGCAAACCCAUUAGAAAUCGUCCAAAGGCCUUUAAGAAAGGAAUACAUGGGUUGCUUAGGGCCUAAGCAUCCAAAUUAGGGUUUCCUUGUUAGAUAACCCUAAUAGCCUCACUAUUUAAGGAACCCUUAAGCCCCAAAAACGUGGUGAACUAAUUAGUUAGGGUUUCCACACGUUUUUGAGAGCCUCCUUCUCUUCUCUUCUUCAUCCUCUUGCUCUUGGUGUUUGUGAACCAUUAGAGGAGUGACAUUUGUGACUCUAAGCUUUCUAAAGUCAAUACAAGAAGGAUUUGAGAUUGUUAUUGCUACAUAACAAUCAAGGUAUGAUCUAAACCCUAAUUCAUAUGUUAUAUUGAUUAUCAUAUACUAGAUCUAGGGUUUAUAGUCUUGGAUGAAUUGCAUGUACAAUAGAGAAACCUAGAUCCAAGCAUUAGGGUUUGUAUGAGCACAUAGGAUGUUCUUAUGGCUAAAACCCAUCAGUGGUAUCAGAGCCUUGAUUGGUUUCUAUUGUAUUGAUGCCUUGGUUAUUUGUUCAAGCUUCAAAAAUCGAUUUUUUGGCCCCCUGUCUGAUGAACUCGGCGAGUUCCAAUGUGGACUCGGCGAGUAGCUCCAACUCGGCGAGUCCAUAGAGGAACUCGGCGAGUUCGAGCGUCAGAAGGAGGCUGUUUCGGGAUUUUUUUUCUAUUUUGACUUAGGAUAAUUGCCAUAAUUGUUUUGAAAAGUUCAAAUCACACCCUUAUGGUUUUAUUAAUUAAUUAAAGUCUAUAAUUAAAAGAGAUUUAGUAAAUCCAUAAAGUUUUGGUGUACAAUUUAAUUAUAUUAAAAGUAUAAUUAUUAAAUUAGACCACCUAGUAUUUUAAAAGAGUAAAAUACACCCUAUACUAUAUAUAACAUUAAAAGUCUAACAUUAUAUAUAUGUAUAAGUAAAAGUCAGUCUUACCGUUAGUAGGCCUCAUUCACGAAGCUGGUCUAUAAGGGGUGUUUAAGGAAAUUGCCUAUAAAAUGGCGAUUGAAUGGGUAUCCACUCUUACCCACCGCACUCUUGACUAGUGGAGGGUCGUUAGCCGAACGGGUAGGAUAGGACAAAACCUUCCAUUAUAAGUAUAAUGAAUUAUUAAAGUAACUAAAUGUUUUCAUAAAAUUCCCAAUCUUAGUUACUUAGGCAAAAGUGAAUUGAUGCAAUUCCAUGAAAUUACACUUUGUGCCCUUGCGAAGACGUUAGUGGAGCGUGUGUGGUUAACCGGCACACUAAAUGGUUCUAAGCAAAGGUAGCAAAGGGUGACUCAAUGUUUGUCAUAGUUCGGUGGAGCGUGUGUGGUUUACCGGCACAUCGAAUAGGUGACUGUAACAUGUGAGGGCACCAUGUAAGUUUGCAUGGUUAUUCACACCCGCUUUGUGAUCCUCGGCAUCCCAGUCACAAACAAGAGGGGCAUAUCGAGAUUUAAACAUGCCAUUGAAAGUUCAAUGAAUCUCAAAGGAUCUAGGAGUUUUCAUAGAUUUAAAACUUAAAUUUCUUUUUCGUUUUUCAUGGUGGAAAUUAGUGAAUCGUCAUUCACUUACCUUCAAAUAUUCUGCAAUUAGGGUUACGGCAUCCCUCUCCCGAGUUGUAGAAUAUUGUGUUGGGUCCUAGCCUUAGUAUCUCAUUUGGGUGAUUUACUAAGGACUCAAUCAAUCAACUAACUUGAAUUCGUUUUCUCCCGUUUUGUAGAUGUCAAAGUACGACAACUAUGGUCUUCCCAAAUCCCAUGGAACAAGCAUUCCACAUGAAGAUGAUAUUCCACGAUUCGAUCGAGGAACAAGAGAUCAUGCUUCACUUCCUCCUCCUCCUCCCGUUAUUCUCCUUAACCCACAAGAUCAAAGAAAUGAAAGGUUCAAUGUCACUAAAGCCCUAUUGGAAAUGAAACAAGAAGAUGGUAAUCCCGUGUGUGCCCACGUUCUAGGAGUGAAAUCACACAUCGAUAGGUUGAUAAUGUUGGGUGCGUCAUUCCUGGAUAAGUUGGCUGUGAACCUGCUUUUGCAGUCACUUCCCGAAUCAUAUAAUGAGUUCAAAAGAAAGUAUUAUAUGAUGGAUCAUGACGACAACCUCAUUGACCUAACUUACAUGCUCAUUGCUGCUGAAUCAGAAAUGAUUUGGCAAAGCAAUGGAGCGUAUUUGUUGGGAAAGUCAACCAACCAUGCUUCCGAGGACGUUCUAGGAGAACCGACCUGCGUUUGCUGCCAAGAGAAAGGGCGUUGGAUACAAGUCUGCCCAAAGAGCCUGAAGAGUCCAGAAGAUGGGAGAGUCAAAGAGUAUGGCUGCGCUUCAGGUAAAAUCCACUAUCUAACUCCAUUAAGUUCCUAUUCAUUGAUUCUUAAUACAUAAUGUGAUAAGAUUGCAUUUGAAUGUUUUGCAGGAUUAGUGAAAAGAGAGGAAGCUUGAUGGAAAAGCAAGAUGAGUCUAAUCACAAAGAAAUGGAUCUCAAUCACAUGGAAUUGAAGAUUAGAUUUUGAGCUUAGAAAGUUAUGAUAGAGUUGUUAGGAAUAUUUAUAGUUUUUCAGUUGAUUUUGCAUUGUAAGGACAAAAUGUUUUCUGCUGUUUUUAUGAAUAAAAUAAAUUUUGUUUGACGUAUUUAUUUAUUUAUUUAUUCCCUUGCAAUGAAAUCGUUAUGAAAAAUUGAUGUUUGCAUAUUUCUACAACGAAUGGAUGUGAUUCUUAAUUAUGUUAAUUGUGGAAAUGUCAAGAAUUUACCAAAUAGGGAGAGUUUCUCAUCGCCCAAGUUUCAAUUGGACAGAAACUUGGAAUCAUGCAACUUGGUUGCACGAUGAAUGAGAAAUUUCAUAUUUGGAAAUUAGACUAAUUCAUUGACAAAGUGUCAAGUGAAGGACUAGGAGAUCGAGUACACAAAGUUGUGUGUUGAUCAAGUCCACCACAAGAGUAACAAAGAUAUUCGUCAUGAUUUACUAAAGGUUUAGUAAAUAUGAUUAUACUUAUAAGAUUAAGUGUAAUUCUGAAUUGAUUGAAAAAGUUUAAAUCAAUAGCAGAACGAAUAAGAAGAAUCAAGUAGGCAGAAAGAUAAAAGUUUCUCUAUUCUAAGAAGAAGGGAGAGUACCUUUUAUGCUUUAUGAUAGGUCUUAAUGAUUAAGAACCAUAUCUCAAUUGAUCCUCUAAGUGAGUCUUAGUACAAUUGUAUGUCUAAGAAGAGGAAUCAAGAAUUGAAGAAAUGGUUAAAUCAAGAAGUCAAUCAUACUUCGUUCCAAAACAAGUCUUAGAGUUAAGAUUGUGACAUUGAGUGACAAGUAUUAAGAAGGUUUAUAACAUUCAUCAAAUGUGGAAAGUUGUGAUGUCUUGGAUAAGACAAAGACCAACUAGGACCAAUUUUAUGAAGUGUUUUGUCUUGAUAAAAGCUACACUAACUCUUGAAUAUUUGUUUGUCAAGAAAUGUUUAUUGACAAGAGAAUCUUAUAUGUCAAGGAGUCAGUGGGAGUCUUAAUGGUCUUGAAAGGUUUCAAGAACAAAUCAAGAAUAAACCUUAUCGAUCAUCACUAGCACACGACUUGAGGUUUACAACCUAUCGUGUUGACAUUAUCUUGUUUCUGUGUCGUUUCAAUUGAGUUAAUUAUGCAUGUGAGCCCUAUGAGUUCUCAUUUGAAUGCAUAAAAGGCAAUGACCUUGAUCAAUGAAGAGUACAUUGAUAGGAAAGGGUGAGCUGCUUAAAUACUUGGAAGACAUGGUGAGCAACAGUGUUACCAUAAGGCAAGAGAUCAAGAUUAAGAAAGCUAGGUCCAUAUGAGUUUGAAUUUGUCAUAAAUUUUGGUUUUAACAAAUUCACAUGGAUAGGAACAUAUACACCAUUAAAAUCGAAGUGUCAUAAGAUUUCCUCCUUCAUUAAAAUGACUGUGAUAAAAUGGUUUCACUAAGAAAGAUUUUAAGAAGAUAGUGAUUGUGAAAUUGUAUUCUCAAAUUUGUUUAUGGUUACGGUAUCCCUUUCCAUGAUUCGAAUUGUGAGAUUUGGCAAUUAGUCUGAAUUGUUUAGACACACAUAUGAGCUAUCUAAGGGAAAGGUGUAUAAGCUUAGAUAAAGGAUUAUCAAAGCAUUAAGUAUUAGAAACAUGAACUUAAGAAAUUCAAUAAGUAUUGUUUUUCUGGAAGUUAUGUUGGUUUCUGAAUACAAGUCAAAGCUAGUGGGAGCAUAAGUGUUAUGUUUAUAAUAAUCAUCAUGAUAGUGGGAGCAUAAAUGUUAUGAUUGUAUGAUUACUAAGGCAAGUAUUGCAAGUUAGCAAUAUUAAUUAUAGAAAACAAGAGUCAUACUUUGCAAAGUAGUAAGCAUGUAAAGUUGUUUUGCUAUAAUUAAGGGGGAGAAUAUUAUGCUUCAUUUCAAAUCUAAAAGCUUAGGCUGUGGAAUGUUAAUAAAUUUAGUCAAGGAUACAUAGUGUGUUCUUAAAUUUCGAUUAUGAUUAUGGCAUUCCUCUUCAUAAUUCGAAUCAUAAGAACGUGACACAUAAGAUAUUAUGGCAGAAGAUUGAUAAAGUAUCAAAUCUUUAUGUAAGACAUUAUGCAUCGUGUCCCAUACGCUUCGGGUAUAGGAUAGAUUGCAAAUGCUAUAAUAUUUGACCAUUCUAAAAUUUUCCAAAUGUCUAGCGCAUUUAGAGGGAAAAAGGACUAGAAUCGGUUUUGACUAAGAUAAUUAAACAACUAUCAAAGGACAAUCCAAAGUUCGCCGAGGAUUGGUCGCUUGUGAGUAGUUGGAAGUAUAGUAUUGGAUGGACCAUAUCGACAUUAUUAUGAAUAGAUAAGAUUCUAUUAAGAAUGAGUUGUCAUAUGGUAAGUAUGGAAAGUUUUCCAUAUUGGGAAUUGAAUAUUGAAAAUCUAUGUCUAGAUUAGAAACUUUUAUGCAAAAGGAUGUUCAAAGGAAUGUACUUUGAGUGAGAGACAUCACAUCUAUGGAAUUGUCUUGUAACAAUUUCCGAUAGAGAGCUUUGUAAUUCAUUGGCAAUAGUCAUUGUGACCUUAGUGCAGUGACAUUACAAAAGGAUCAUUGCAUAAAAUGUUAGAAUCUAACAUAUUCUAUAAGUGGCAAGAAUUUGAUAUUCUUUCACUUGUAAAAAGGAUUAGGAGUUGUGAAAUGAGUAUGAUUGGAAAUGUGUUCAUUUGAUCUAUUUCACAAAGUAAGAACCAUAGGUAAACAUUGUGUGCAUGCUAAGAGCAUGGGACAAGUGUAGUAAUAAUUCAAGUAAGAAGUUGAUUACCCGAAACAACAAAUAAUGAGUAAUCGAUAUGGUGAUAAAUAAAAGGUGUUUUAUUUAUACUCAAAGGUUUGAGGCCAUAUGGGAUUAGUAUUAUUCUUGUGUUUCACUUUGCAUGUUUUGACUUCCUGAAUAAUUUAAUUGGUUUAGAACAGUCAAAUUAUUCGAACGGGCCACAGUCGUUCAUAUGUUGGAAGUAGGUAUGAAUGAAGACUGUCGUGAAUUGGUGUGUGGAUUGUCUAAAGAGUAUUAGACAUAAGCAAAUGUUUGCUGCAACGUUCAUGAGUGCUUAUGAAUAUGAUUUGAGCAUUGGAUUAAACCCACGCUCACUUGGAUCACUCCAUGAAUUGUAUCACGAGUGAUUGGUGAGACGAUAACAUCUUAUAUUCUUGAAACCGAGAUGUGUGAGUUGUAUCUUGCAAAUCGGUUGCACAUUGAUAAUAUGUAAACGCACUAGUAACUUGGUGUUAUAAAACAUAUUGUUGUGUGUGAUUCGGUGAGUGAGUGCAAGCAAGCAUUGUAUCAAAGUUUAUCCGUUCCUUUUAUCCAAAGUAGGAUAAAAGCGAUAUCUUUGGGCCCCUCGAUGAUUUAGUGAUGACAAACGUAAAUGCUCGGCCGGGCUAGGGCUAAUUUGAUUUGUUCAAUUAGUCAGUCGUCAUAAAUCGGAAAUCGAGAUAUAGUACAAAGAGAAUGAUUUGAAAUCAUAUCUCAUAUGAUAUCUAGAAUGGAGGAAUAUAUGAUCCCUUAUCUAAGGACACGCGUAUCUGAUAUGAUCAGAGUUGACAGCGGCUUUGGAAAGCUACGAUUGCAGAUCAGGAUCUGAAGUCAUACGCAUAAUAGUUAUUAGACUUAUCCAAGUGGGAGACUGUUGGAUUAGUGUCUAAGUCCAUAACUAUUUUGGUAUGUACUUGACCCGAUGGUGCAUGGUCCUUUUGGGUUGCCUUCACCAAAGCAACUUGAUAGGAUGAAUUAUGGAGAGAAAUGAUUAAUUAUGAUUUAUUAAUAUAUUAUGAGAAUAAUAUAUUAAAGGAGAUAUCAUAUUGUUUAAUUAAUAUUAGUCAAGAAUUAAUAAGAAUUAAGUUUGUGGCUAAAAGACAUUAAUUAAACUUAAGGGACUAGAACUGUCAAUUGUGUGAUAGUUGAAUAUUGGGCUAAUGGACUCCAUAUUAAAGGGGUGGACGAAUUCUAUGGGGAUACCCAUUAGAAAUCGUCCAAAGGAAUUUAAGAAAGGAGUACAUGGGUUGCUUAGGGCCUAAGCAUCCAAAUUAGGGUUUCCUUGUUAGAUAACCCUAAUAGCCUCACUAUUUAAGGAACCCUUAAGCCCCAAAAACGUGGUGAACUAAUUAGUUAGGGUUUCCACACGUUUUUUAGAGCCUCCUUCUCUUCUCUUCUUCAUCCUCUUGCUCUUGGUGUUUGUGAACCAUUAGAGGAGUGACAUUUGUGACUCUAAGCUUUCUAAAGUCAAUACAAGAAGGAUUUGAGAUUGUUAUUGCUACAUAACAAUCAAGGUAUGAUCUAAACCCUAAUUCAUAUGUUAUAUUGAUUAGAUCUUAGGUUUUAUAGUCUUGGAUGAAUUGCAUGUACAAUACAAAAACCUAGAUCCAAGCAUUAGGGUUGCAUGAGUACAUAGGAUGUUCUUAUGGCUAAAACCCAUCAACUGGUACAUCCGGAGGGAUCACACCCAUUACAAGUUCCCCGGUCUUGCCUCAGCCUUCCUCAAUUCGAGUACGAAUCCUCUGCUUUCAGUAGUAUGGGCCCAUACUACUUUCCACAUCUAUCCGUACUCUCCUCAAGGACUGCCUUGACUCCACCAAGUCCCUUUGACCACUGCUGAUCUCUGUUACUCUCAUCCUAGGCUUACCCUAGGGAACCUCUGACUCCACCCAAACCGGUCCUCAGCUGCUGGAGGCCUCCUUGUGAAGCCAAUUAGCCACCACUUGAGUACCAUCACAUGUAACGAGGCUUAGAUAAUCCUUCAAGUAAACGACUCAUCCCUACAACGGUUAGACUCAAACGAGAGCUGCGCAAUAGGGCCAAAUCCAGCAUUCUGAGAUUAUUCAAUCCUAAUCACAUGUGACGCGACGUACUCACCGAAUGGCUAACUCCCAUCGUUCAGAGUCCUAUAAGCACAAAGCAAGCAACAUUCGGACACAGGAAACUACUCAAGCAACUCUAUCCUUAUAACAAAAAACUAUAAUAGCAUACAAUGUUGAGCUCAUACUACCAGGCAUAACCUAAACAGGCUAUCCUAUUACUAUCUACUCAAUACUAGCAUGCAAUUCUCAUAAGCUGAAGCACAUAAAGCAGACACAUAAGGCAUCAUUCCUAGAUCCUUAGUCCUAUUCUAGCAUGUUGUUCUACUGAAACUGAUAAACAUAAUAUAAACUUGUAUGGGUACUUUGGGGAAUACUUACUUGAGCUCGGCCGGUUGCGCACAUCACACACUUUGUUCUUUCCCAAAACUCUUUUAUCUUAGUUUUUAGGAAACCAAUUUUCUUGUAAAAAUCUUUUAAUCCCUCGAUUUGAGUCCGGACACUCCCAAGGGUGUGUCUGAAUCCCUCAAACCAGGGCUCUGAUACCAACUUGUAAUGACCCAGUUUUCAAGACCAAAAAUUUCUUUUUCAUUAACUAACUCAUAAAAACAUUCGUAAGAAAAUACUGUGAAAUCACAACAUCUCAUAAAACAAUGAAUCAUGUCUAAAAACCCAAGUUAUAAAAUAAGAACUUCUCAGAGUACAAUUCCAGAAUAUCCAAAGUGCGGUAAACAAUGAGUAUAUGUAUGAUGUGCCGCUACAGCGCAAGCUCCUUCCCCUUCGCUGAAGAGAUACCUGAAACCAAAAUAGCAACUAUAAGCACGAAGCUUAGUCAGUUCCCCCAUCGUACCGCAUACCAUACAAACACAUAGCAUACACAUACUGUCAGGCAUAUCAGGGUGCCCGACCUACCCCUUCGGUCAUCUCGACCGGAUACUGCCUAGCAUACCUGGGUGCCCCUUCUUGUUUCACCUAUUGCAAUGCAACUUCUGGCAGACUCCGUUAUGAUGGAAGUCGCACUUGUUGCAUUUUGGGAGGCUUCCAACAUAUGGUUUUCUCGAUGUUGAGGUAUUAGGUUCAGUGGGGGUAGGGGUUGCACAGCUCAUUGCCUUUUGGUAGGUCCUUGAGUCAGUGUGCCCCCUUUCUCGUUCUAGGGCUAUCGUUUCAUGUUCUUGGAUUUGUGGUUUGGGGUGUCCUUGUAGGCAGCCACUCUUCGGUGCCCUUGGUUAUUAUUACUAUUGGAAUUGUCGACACCGAUUUCAUUUUCGUUUGUGUUUAUAGCGUUGAGUUGUGCCAUGAUGGUUGUCACAGCAACUGUCACUACGGCUUGAAAAGUAGCAGAGUCUAUCUGCAGGAUUCGUGUCUUGCUGGUUGGCCGCUUGUUUCCAUGUGAAGGCAUGAUUCUGUUGCAUUGGCGAGAAACGAAUUCGUAAGUAACUUUGGUCGUUUUUAGUUAUAUCUCAUCUAUAUACAUUUAUGUAUACACGUAUAUAAGUCACAUGUUUUUUUGUAUGAUUCCCAAAAGUUUCAACCAUAUUCUCAAAAUGUACUUAUGGUGAUAAGUAGUAGUAGGUUGUAACGACCCAGUUUUCAAGACCAAAAAUUUCUUUUUCAUUAACUAACUCAUAAAAACAUUCGUAAGAAAAUACUGUGAAAUCACAACAUCUCAUAAAACAAUGAAUCGUGUCUAAAAACCCAAGUCAUAAAAUAAGAAAUUGUCAGAUUACAAUCCCAGAAUAUCCAAAGUGCGGAAAACAAUGAGUGUGUGUAUGAUGUACCGCUACCGCGCCAACUCCUUCCCCUUCACUGAAGAGGUACCUGAAACCAAAACAGCAACUGUAAGCACGAAGCUUAGUGAGUUCCCCCAUCGUACCGCAUACCAUACAAACACAUAGCAUACACAUACUGUUAGGCAUAUCGGGGUGCCCGACCUACCCCUUCGGUCCUUUCGACCGGAUACUGCCUAACAUACCUGGGUGCUGGCCUCCCCUUCAGUCCUAUCAACCGGAUACUACCUUGCAUAUCUGGGUGUUGGCCUCCCUAACGGUCCUCUCGACCGGAUACUGCCUAGCAAACCUAGGUGCUGGCCUCCCCUUCAGGCCUCUCGACCGGAUGCUGGGGACUAUUUCACCCCUCUACUACUACCACAUAGCAUGUAACACAUAACCAUAUUCUAUCUAGUAUGACUGGGUAUAACCACCCCCUUUGGCCCUAUCGACCGGUAACCUUGGGGACUAUCUCCCCUACUGCUACUAGCAUCUAAUAUCAUAUCAUACUAGCUCAUAACACAUCAAGUAGUAGCAAACCUAGAUGAAUAUCCCAAAGACAAUCAUCUAACAUAUGACUCCUACUGGUGGGCCGGCAUUGUGGUCGUAGACCCACUGCUACUCGAAGGUAACUCACCUCGAACAAGUAGCUGCUGAUAAUCUGUGCGGGAAACCUCUGCCUGCUGCAGCUCCGGAAGUCCUUCGGCUAUAUUCCCCACAAAACACUCAGUCAAAAACUGAUAUAUACUCUUGGGGUAAAAUGACUAUUUUACCCUUAACCAAGUCCAAGUCAAAUUCAAUCUUCCAGUUGACUCGACUCACCUAGUUGGGCCGUCAACUCGUCGAGUCCCUCUCCUUUACUCGUCCUUAUCCACGACUCGGCUCGUCGAGUUUGGCAAUGACUCGACGAGUUCCCCUUCUUUAUGAACAUCAAUGAACCUUCAUCCGACUCGCCAAGUCUGUUCUAGUACUCGUCGAGUCCCAUGAACUUCAGGUCUAAUACUAAGUCCAAUGUGUUGGGUCACUCUUUUAGUCCGGCUACAACCCUUCUAACACCCAACAGAGUCCUUUUGACCCUCAACAGAUGUGGGACACAAAGCCUUGGACUCGUCGAGUCCCAAGAACGGACUCGUUGAGUCGAUAACGUCCAUGGUCUAUUUCCUCGAUUUCUGAUGUACAACUUUUGACCAAAUGAUAGAUCCAAGCCUUUAAGCUCGAUCUAGCACGUAAAGUUUCGAAAUUUACGUGCAUGCAUGGGACUUUUGAGCCAAAAAGGCUCUAAAAUGACUCUUGUGAUGCAUGGUACCUUCCUUGGGUGCAAAAGCAACCUAAAUCUGCUUUGUGACUCCUUCCAAGACUUAGAUUCGAAGUCUUGACCCCUAACCAUGUUUGCAAUCAUGGUUGGCCACCUCAUUUGGCUUAAAAAGCCCUAAAUCUUCCCCAAAAAGGGAUCUAAUAAUUGCACAAGCAAGGUACAGACUUUAUACCUUUCAAGGACUGGAAAUGAUGCACCAAACUCGAAUCCUUCAGUCUCCUCUUGAUCCUUCUAUGCUCUUCCUUCUUCCUUGAGGUCAAAACCCACAAAAAUCACUCAAAAGCCUUAGAUAUUGCACCAAAACACUUAGGGUUUACUAGGGAGGGUUUCUGGGAGCAUUAGGGACGAGUGGUAGCUGAAAGAGAUGAUUAAAUAGGGUGCAAACCCUCAGAUUAGGGUUUUGUCCCGUCAGAGCCUACUCGUCGAGUCCGGGACCCGACUCGACGAGUCCAUCACUUAAAUCCCGCGUCCCAUCCCGCUUCUACUCGGCGAGUUGGUCCUUCAACUCACCGAGUCCAAGGCCAAAAAUGCAAAAUACUAAAAUAAAUUGCGUACCAAGAACCAAGUGUUGGAAUAGUGUCUAAGGCUGCAACUAUAUUAGGCAAGUAUUUGACCCGAUUGUGCAUGGUACUUUUGGGUUGCCUUCACCAUAGCAACUUGACAGGAUGAUUUAUUAUGAGAGAAUAAAUAUUAUUAAUAUAUUAUGAGAAUAAUAUAAGGAAUAAUAAUAUUGUUAUUUGAUUAAUAUAAGUCAUAAAUUAAUUAGAAUUAAUUUGGUGACUUAAAGAGAUUAAUUAAAUAAGAGGGUAUAAACUGUCAAUUGUUUGAUAGUUGCACUUUGGGCUGUAAAUCCUUAAGGGAUAGAGGUUGGACGAAUUCUAGGGCUUGGGAUAGCCUCAAAUUCGUCCAAGGCUUAUCUUUGGUAAGGAUUUGGAUUACUUAGAGCUUAAGUUAUCCAAUUAGGGUUUAAGGGUGAAACCCUAGGAGCCUUACAAGUAUAAAUAGACUCCUAGGGCAAGGGAAAUCGGCACCUCUGCUAAAGCAAAGAAACCCUGGCCGAUUUCUAAUCCCUCCCCUCUCUCUCAAAUCAUCCUCCUUACUAGUUGGUGUUUGUAAGCCAUUAGUGGAGUGACAAUUGUGACUCUAGAGCUCCAAGACAACAAGAUCAAACAAGAGAUUCAAAGGUAAACUUCUAGAUCUGAUUUUGUAUUGUUCUUAUAAUCAACUAGCCAUUAGAAGUCUUGGUUCAAUGCAUGUUUAAUUAGAGAACCUAGAUCCAAGCAUUAGGGUUUUGCAUGCGCACAUAGGAAAGUUCUUAUGGCUAAAACCCAUCAGUGGUAUCAGAGCCUAGCUUGGUUUUCUGUAAAUUGUUGCUUGAUUAACUGAAACAAACCUGCAAAAUUCGAAUUUUUGGUUUCUGAGUCAUGGACUCGGCGAGUCUCAAAGUGGACUCGGCGAGUAGGCCUGACUCGGCGAGUCCAUUUGUGCACUCGGCGAGUCCAGGCGUCAGGAAUGGCCAGAUUCGGGAUUUCUUUGUGUUUAUCUUAUCUUAACUUACCAUAAACUAAUUAGAUCAACAUUAAUUCGUUUUUCUGAUAAAUAUAACUAUUAUCUUGAUCUAGUUAAAGGUAAUUAUCAACUAAUUAAAUAUUUAAUUUCCUUAUAUGAUAAUUAAUUAAUUAUUUUGAUUAUUUUGGUAAUUAUCUUUAAAAGAAAUCUUGAAUAAAUCAAAUAUAGAUAAUUAGGAUAUUAAUUGUUAAUUGGAAUUAUUUGUUAUUUGAUCCUCCAUGUUUUAAAUGUUUAAAACCUACCCUCAUGUUUUGAAAUUUACUUUUGUGAUUAAAAGUUUUAAUUUAGACAACUUAAAUUUCAAACCCUAGAUUUUAAAAGUUUUAAAAUACAACCCUAUACUAAUAUGAUAUUACUAGAAUAAUAUAUAUAUGUAUAACUAAAUGCUAGUCUUACCGUUAGUAGGCCUCAUUCACGAAGCCGAUCUAUAAGGUGGGUAUAAGGUUGCGGCCUAUAAAAUGGCGCUUAAUGGGUGUACACUCACACCCACCGCUUGCUUGAUUGGUGGAGGGUCGUUAGCCGAACGGGUAGGAUAGGGCAACCUCAUCCUCUCAUUAAAAGUAUAAUAAGAAAUAUAAAGUAACUACACAUUUUUUUAAAAUUUCCCAAUCCUAGUUACUUUAGGAAAAGUGAAUUGAUGCAAUCCCAUGAAAUUACACUUUGCACCUUGCUAAGAUGUUAGUGGAGCGUGUGUGGUUUACCGGCACACUAAUUGGUUCUAAGCGAAGGUGGCAAAGGGUGAUUCAUUGUUUAUCAUAGUUCGAUGGAGCGUGUGUGGUUUACCGGCACAUCGAAUAGGUGAUUGUUACAAUGAAGGCACCAUGUGAAUUUGCAUGGUAAUUCACACCCGCUUUGUGAUCCUCGGCAUCCCAGUCACAAACAAGAGGGGCAUAUCGAGAUUUAAACAUGCCAUUGAAUAGUUUCAAUGAAUCUCAUCCGAACCUAGGAAUUCUCAAAAACACUUAGGACUAAUAGUUUAAGUUUUGUGAUGGAGAAUUAGUGAAUCGUCAUUCACUUACCUUCAAUUUAUUUGCAUGUUAGAUUACGGCAUCCCUUUUCUAGUAUGUAAAUGUUAUUGUUGGAUCCUAGCCCUAAUUUUCUUAUUGGGUGAUAAUUAGGGAUUCUUAUUCUAAUCUAUCUUUGUCCUUUUCUAAUUGUAGAUGUCGAACGCAAACAACGCUGCUGCUAGUUCUUUCACGUUGAUGAGCCUUUGCCAAAAGGUCACCUUCGAUGGAACGAACUUUAGCGAAUGGAUAAGAUACAUUCGCACCAUUGCUCGCUAUGAGGAUAAGGAGUAUGUCCUCGAUGAGAAGCUCGAGAAAAUCAACCCCGAAAUUGCUACUCCCGCCGAAAUCACCGCCUUUGAAACUCAUGAGCGAGAUGCAACGAAGGUACAUUGCAUCAUGAUCGCCACCAUGAACUCCGAAUUCCAAAAGUCCUACGAGGACAUGUACCCGUACGAGAUGCAUCAAGACUUAUUGGAGAGGUACCACCAAAACGCGAGACAAGAGAGGUACGAGAUUUUCACUAACAUGAUUUCCGCGAAGAUGGGUCAUGGAGAAUCUCUUACCGUGCACUUGCAAAAGAUGCAAAGGUAUGUUGACCGCCUCCGCAAGUUAAAUGUUGACUUCGGUGAAGACUUGGCGAUCGACAUGGUGCUUCACUCUUUGCCUCCGAUGUACAACCAAUUUAGGAUGACCUACCACAUGAACAAAGAAGAGGUCACCCUAAGCAAGCUCCAAGGUCUCUUGAGGGUUGCUGAGAGCAACUUCAAGGACAAGUCUGUUGCACCUACUCCCAAUCCGCCCGCUGCUCCUGUCUUGGCUAUUGGACAAGGGAAGGGAAAGAAGAGGAAAGCUUCAUCGAAGAACUAUCGCAAGGUGAAAGCCCGAGAUGGUGCCUCUUCUAGUGGGACCAAAGUUGAUCCCGCCAAGCCCUGCUCUAACCCGAAGGAGGCAGAGUGCCACCACUGCCACAAGAUAGGACAUUGGAAGAGAAGCUGCCCGGAUUACCUGCAAGCAAUCAAAGAAGGAAAGAUCAAGCCAUCUUUCGCAGGUAUAUAUACAAUCAAAUCUAACGAUUCUAAUCAUGCUAUUUCUUGGGUUCUUGAUACCGGUUGUGGUUAUCACAUUUGUUCUAAUGUGCAGGGACUAAGAAGAAGUAGGGAUGUGGAGCAAGGAAGGAUCAAUCUAAUCAUGGGGAACAGAAGAUCGUCGCCUGUGACCAAGAUUGGAGUGUAUUCUUUAGUGCUUAGGAAUAGUUUGGUUUUAGAUUUGAACAAUUGUUGCUAUUCGCCAGAAAUGGCUAGAAACAUCAUUUCAUUUCAUGGUUUAUAUAGACAAGGAUUUAGAUUUUCUUUUAAUAAUGAGAAUGGUUCUAUUUUGGCUUAUCUAAAUGGUGUCUUUUACUUUGAAGCUAUACCAUGUAAUGGAAUAUAUGAAACCGUUAUGAUUGUUGAUAACUUAGGAAAUGAUGUUUUGAAUAUUGAUUCUUCCACUAGUAUGGAUAAAGCAUCCUUGUGGCAUUGUCGUCUUGGACAUGUCAACAAGAAACGCAUAGCCCAACUCCAAAAGGAUGGAGUGUUGGAGUCAUUCGACCUUAGGGAAGAUGACACAUGCGAGUCUUGUUUGCUUGGAAAGAUGACUAAGUCACCCUUCACGAGUACAUGUGAAAGGGGCGAGGGUCUAUUGGACCUAAUACAUACCGAUGUAUGUGGACCGUUUAGAUCAACCACGAAGGAUGGGAACCGCUUCUAUGUGACUUUUACCGAUGACUAUAGUAGAUAUGGGUAUAUCUACUUAAUCAAGCAAAAGUCAGACACCUUUGAAAAGUUCAAAGAGUUCAAGAAUGAAGUGGAGAAUCAAUUGGGCAGGAAAAUCAAGAUGCUUCGAUCCGAUCGAGGAGGAGAGUACCUAAGUCUUGAAUUCCACGAUUAUCUCAAGGAGUGUGGAAUAGUUUCGCAAUUGACGCCUCCUAGGACACCGCAGUUGAAUGGUGUGGCAGAAAGGCGUAAUCGAACCUUAUUGGAUAUGGUUCGCUCUAUGAUGAGUCGUGCUUCACUACCUAUCUCUUUUUGGGGGUAUGCCUUAGAGACUGCCGCCCAUAUCCUUAACCGAGUCCCUACUAAGAAGGUUGCCAAAACACCUCACGAGAUGUGGACAGGGAAAGCUCCCUCGUUGGCACAUAUCAAGGUUUGGGGUUGCGAGGCUUUCGUAAGACGAGAUACUCACGACAAGCUUGAACCUCGAAGUGAGCGAUGUAUUUUCAUCGGCUACCCGCAGACAUCCUUUGGAUAUCUCUUCUAUAGACCGAAGGACAAUGUUGUCUUCGUUGCGAGGAGAGGAGUUUUCCGAGAGCGAGAACUCAUAAGCCAAGGAGACAGUGGGAGGCAAAUCGAACUUGAAGAGAUUCAAGAGUCGAUAGAUGAAGGAACCUCUACCGCUGGCAUUCAACCCGAGGAGGAAACUCCGGUUGAACCGAUUGACGAAUCCUUACCUCUUAGACGUUCCGAUAGAGUUAGAGUUCAACCCCAGUUUUAUGGUUUUCAUAUUACUACCGAAGGGGACACGUAUAUUAGUGAUGGUACACUAAUAAAUCUUGAUGAACCUAAUAGCUAUAAGGAAGCCAUGGCAGGCCCGGAGUCUGCAAAAUGGAAAGAGGCAAUGGAUAGCGAGAUCCAAUCCAUGUAUGAUAACCAAGUUUGGAAUUUGGUUGAUUAUGUGCCCGGACGUAAGACCGUUGGGUGCAAAUGGAUCUUCAAGAAGAAGACCGACGUGGAUGGAAACGUACACACAUAUAAAGCGCGAUUGGUUGCGAAGGGCUUUACUCAAACUCCCGGAGUUGACUAUGAUGAGACCUUCUCACCAGUUGCGAAGAUUAAAUCUAUUAGAGUGAUGCUAGCAAUUGCCGCAUUUCAUGAUUAUGAGAUUUGGCAAAUGGAUGUCAAGACCGCUUUCCUUAACGGAAAGUUGGCUGAGGAUGUUUACAUGGCUCAGCCAGAGGGGUUUGUGGAUCCGAAGCAUCCGAAUAGAGUGUGUAAGCUUGAGAAGUCCAUUUAUGGACUUAAGCAAGCGUCUCGCAGAUGGAAUCUUUGCUUCGAUGAGAAAGUCAAAGAGUUUGGAUUUGUACGAAGCGAAGACGAAUCUUGUGUAUAUGUCAAAGCCAGUGGGAGUAUAGUAAGCUUCCUCGUUCUAUAUGUCGAUGACAUAUUACUCAUAGGAAACGACAUCCCGACUCUGCAGGAGGUUAAGUCCUGGCUCGGGAAGUGCUUCGCUAUGAAGGACCUCGGAGAGGCUUCUUACAUUUUGGGAAUAAGGAUAGUAAGAGAAAGAAGUAAGAGACUAAUUGGACUUAGUCAGAAUACUUACUUAGAGAAGGUACUAAAACGUUUUAGUAUGGAAAACUCAAAGAAGGGAGAACUACCGAUACAAAGUAAUGCCAAAUUGAGUAAGACUCAAAGUCCGAGUACCGAAGCUGAGAUAGCAGAAAUGAGCCGAGUACCAUACGCUUCCGCAGUUGGCUCAAUCAUGUACGCUAUGACUUGUACUCGCCCUGAUGUAGCCUUCGCUUUGAGCAUGGUUAGCAGAUAUCAAGGGAAUCCUGGCAGAGCACAUUGGAUUGCGGUGAAGAAUAUCCUUAAGUACCUUCGGAGGACGAAGGAAUGGUUCUUAGUCCUCGGAGGGAGUGAUGACUUGAAGGUGCGAGGGUAUAGUGACGCCAGUUUUCAGACCGACAGGGACAACUACCGUUCGCAGUCGGGCUGGGUCUUUACCCUAAAUGGAGGAGCAGUGACAUGGAAAAGUUCCAAGCAGGAAACCGUAGCUGAUUCAACGUGCGAAUCAGAGUACAUUGCAGCGAGCGAAGCGUCGAAGGAGGCAAUAUGGCUAAAGAACUUCAUCGGUGAUCUUGGAGUUGUACCUGCCAUAAAGGAGCCCAUGGAGAUUUUCUGUGAUAACGAAGGAGCGGUUGCCUUGACCAAGGAACCGAGGGAUCAUGGUAGAUCAAGACAUAUCGACAGAAAAUAUCACUUCAUUAGACAUCGUGUAGAAGAAGGACAACUCGUAGUGAAGAGGAUAUCAUCAGAAGAUAACCCAGCAGAUCCGCUUACGAAGGGACUGAGUAGGGUUAAGCACUUGCAGCAUGCUAGGAGUAUUGGGCUGAAGGAUGAUAUUAGCAUAGAUUAGAUAGUAUUAGAAACGUGUAAUAGAUAAAUGUAAUUAACAUUUGAUGAUUAAAUAAAGGAGUUUUAUUUAUGAGUAAUGUUACUGUCUUAUGUUAAUUGUUUAACUAUUGUUUCACUUUGCAUGUUUUGACUUCCAGAAUAAUUGAGUUUAUUAAGAAUAAUCGAAUUAUUCAAAUUGUCCACAAUCGUUCAUAUGUUGGAAGUAGAUAUGAAUGAAGAUUGUCAUGAAUUGGUGUGUAGAUUGUCUAAAUGGUGUUAGACAUAGCAAAGGGUUGCUGCAACGUUCAUGAGUGCUUAUGAACUAGUUUUGAGCAUUGGAACAAACCCGCGCUUGCUGGAAUCACCUUAUGGAAUAUGAUAUAAAAGGGUGAUCGCAAGACGAUAAUAUCAUAUAGUCUUAAAACCUAGAUAUAUGGUUUGUUAUUUGUUAAUUGAUUGUACAUUGAUAAUGCGAAAACGCAUCAGUAACUCGGUGUUAUAAAACGCAUUGUUGUGUAUAGUUGAUUAAUGAAUAAGUAAAUGCAUAUAAGUCGAAGUUUAUCUGUUACUUUUAUCCCAAGAGGGUAAAAGCGAUAUCUCGGCCGCUCGAUGAUUUGAUUUGACUUAUGUGCCGGGCCCGGUCAGAACUGAAUUGAUGUGUUCGAUUAAGUUCUAUGUCAAAUAAAUCGGAGAUCGAGAAACCUAAAUGCUUGACUAAUUAUUCCAUAGAAUUGUCAGCAUGAUAUCUAACAGAGGACUGUACGAUCCCUUAUCUAAAGGACAAGAUUGAUUAGAUCAGAGUUUGACAGCGUCUUUGAGAGCUACGAUUGCAAAUCGGAUUGUACUUGUGCAUAUAGUUACUAGACUUAUCCAAGUGGGAGACUGUUGGAAUAGUGUCUAAGGCUGCAACUAUAUUAGGCAAGUAUUUGACCCGAUUGUGCAUGGUCCUUUUGGGUUGCCUUCACCAUAGCAACUUGACAGGAUGAUUUAUUAUGAGAGAAUAAAUAUUAUUAAUAUAUUAUGAGAAUAAUAUAAGGAAUAAUAAUAUUGUUAUUUGAUUAAUAUAAGUCAUAGAUUAAUUAGUAUUAAUUUGGUGACUUAAAGAGAUUAAUUAAAUAAGAGGGUAUAAACUGUCAAUUGUUUGAUAGUUGCACUUUGGGCUGUAAAUCCUUAAGGGAUAGAGGUUGGACGAAUUCUAGGGCUUGGGAUAGCCUCAAAUUCGUCCAAGGCUUAUCUUUGGUAAGGAUUAGGAUUACUUAGAGCUUAAGUUAUCCAAUUAGGGUUUAAGGGUGAAACCCUAGGAGCCUUACAAGUAUAAAUAGACCCCUAGGGCAAGGGAGAUCGGCACCUCUGCUAAAGCAAAGAAACCCUGGCCGAUUUCUAAUCCCUCCCCUCUCUCUCAAAUCAUCCUCCUUGCUAGUUGGUGUGUGUAAGCCAUUAAAGGAGUGACAAUUGUGACUCUAGAGCUCCAAGACAACAAGAUCAAACAAGAGAUUCAAAGGUAAACUUCUAGAUCUGAUUUUGUAUUGUUCUUAUACUCAAUUAGCCAUUAGAAGUCUUGGAUUCAAUGCAUGUUUAAUUAGAGCAACCUAGAUCCAAGCAUUAGGGUUUGCAUGUGCACAUAGGAAUGUUCAUAUGGCCAAAACCCAUCACCAGGUGCUACAUAGGUAUUGUACGAACGUUAGGUUUAUCAAAUAGAAUAUAGUUAUCAAUACAGUUAGUCGAUCCGAAUUACAUGGGUUCUUGGAGGGCGUACCUCUCUUGAUUUACUACUACUAGUUGUGAUGAAAGACAUAAUAACUCUAAGACAUAGUGUGAGUAGUGUAGUCACUAGCUGACUUGGUUAUCCUAGUCUAUCAUAUGUCGAAAUGAUGCACAAGGUGCCCGGCCAUUUCAUUCAUCUCACGAGUGGCCUCUUCUGCUCUCUAUUCUGCUAAGGCUGCUCUAGCCUUAGCUGUGAUGAUCUGAUUUCUCAGGAUGACCAUUUCCUCCUCUAAGGAGUGUAGACGGUUUGUAAGGUCCUCCUGCUCUGAUUGCUGACUCAACAUUGCUCGUGAAUAGUGUUCCUGUCCUCCUCUAAACCAGGCAUGUUGUUAGGUUGCCCCUUGUGGAGAUGCAUUCUGUACAAGGUGAAUGUUAGCAACGAAGCUUGCCCUUUCAUGAGCAAUAUUUCCUUACUAGGUAUGUUCAUCCCAAGAGAACUUCUAUUGGAUGUCUACGUACCUGGGAGGAGAGGGAUGAAAGGGUCUCUUGCCCGCUCCUGUUAGGGUAAGGCUCACUAAAGAUCUCCCCUGCGCCUUCAUCCUCAUCUGACUCCUCAUCAGAACCCUCCCCCUUGUAGUCCAUCUCUUUGUAUUCUUCGGGACCCACUUUUGGGUUCUCCUCAUGAACCUCUUAUGGCUCCUCUUCAAUCCAUCUGUUGGCUACCACGGCACGGUAGUGGGGGUCUUUGUGGUCAAAUUCAGCCAUGUUGUCUGUGCGAGAACAGAGGUAUGAGAAACACGUAGAAGAUUUAAGCGUGUGUGUGUGGGGGGGUGUCAUAUCGUAUACCAAAUACUCCUAUAGUAUUUUAAUUAUACAUUUGAUUCUAGAGCCUCCUGGCAUACGAAGUUGAUGAGUUUUUAGACUUGUUGUUAUUGUUUAGUAUCAUAAAAUACUAAUAUAGUAUUUUAAACUUUAUGUUCAAUUAUAAUGUUCCUUUGCAUGUAAAUUUGGUAAGUCUUAGACUUGUUGCAACACCAGUAUCACUCCCAAACACAUGUUAGUCAUUUCUCGAAUAAAUAUAGUUGAUCAGGCUAUAUUUAUCCCGGAUAUGAUUACAUAGCUAUCUAGGUUUGACUGUAGUGUCCAACAUCUAAAUACUCCGGUUUUGUUCUUAUCAUGAAACUGUCCUAGUAUGUAUGUACACUUUUAUAAAAUACUUAUACUUUUAAGGUAUAAUUUUAGUCAUAAUGUUUUAGUCCCAUUGUAUUUAUAAUUGUAUAUCUUAUAUGGUUUGAUAUACUGGUUCACUAUAAACAAUGCUCUGAUACCAAUCUGUCACACCCCCAAACCAGAACGACGGAAACAUCUAGGGGCAGAUGGAGUGACUUCAUGUACGGUAUCAUAACAAUUGAAUAGUAAUGAAACAUAGCAACCCAAACAUUCAUACAUUGAUAAUACAAGUUUACAUUGCUUACAACACUUUGUUUAUUCAAAAGUUAAAUACAAAUAACUGAAAAGUGGAAAACGUGAAACGAAGACGCCGACUCUCAAGAAGGGUUUAAUACCUGUCUACUGGUUUCCAGAAAAUACAAGUGAUUUUGAAAAGUGUCAACUAUAAAGUUGGUGAGUUCAUAAGCAUUUUGUAUGAAAGGGUUCGUAACUGUUUUGCAAAAAAUGGUUUCGUAUACUUCCAUAAAAUCCGAUAUUUUCUUAAAAAUGAACUGUAAUUGUAUGUAAUUCCUUUUUAUCUUUUCCUUGUAGAGUAAUGAUGUAUGUUUCAAGAAAAUCCAGUAUUUUCUUAUAAGUAAAUUGUAGUUGUAUGUAGUUCCUUUGAAUCUUUUCCAUGUAAAGUAAUAAUGUAUGUUUAUAGAAAAUCCAGUAUUUUCUUAAAUAUGAACUGUAAUUGUAUGUAAUUCCUUUGUAUCUUUUCCUGGUAAAGUAAUAAUGUAUGUAUCCAGUAAAUCCAAUAUUUUCUUUUUAUGAACCGUAGUCUUAAAACCCUAAGACCAAGAUAUGAGUGAAUGUUGUGCUGAAAAUAGUAUAUAUAGUCUUAUAUUAUAAUAAAACCGGUGAAGUGUAAGCUUCACGUAAACCAAAAUAGUUUCGCUAAUCCCUGUGUGAGUUCUUAUAACCAUGCUUGAUAUGACUGUUAUGCUUGAAUGACGUUCUUCAGGCGUCGGAAUUGGUAGACUUUUGUCACCUUAUACUUUCCGGUCUAACUAUAGCGAACAGCUGAGGUGUGGGGUUGUAAACCACAUAUAGAUCUAUACACAACGGUCCCUCUCUCCCUCAAGGAGACUCUGGUUAUAAUGCAGGACUUAAGGUGUAUGCUAGGUAGGUACAGUGAAGGAACGUCUCACAAGAGCAUUAAUAGAUUUAUAUGAACUAUGACUCGUUUUUCUUGUAAAAUGUAAUAAGUAUAUAUUUGAAACUAUUUAUAUAAUCUUUUAUAUAAAUACGAAAGUGUAUUUUUGUCUAGUAUGUAAAUGUGAAAUCAAAACAUAAUAUUUUUGAGUUAAAACCCACUAAAUUAGUAAGUGACUAUAAUGUAAUCACUUUUGCUAGAAAAACUAUCUUUUAGUAAGAGUUUCUGUAACGCCCGUGUUUCUAGGCUUGCCAUUUUUAGCAAUGUAAUAGUCUAGGUUAACCUUUGUAACCCCAAUUUGAAAUAAUAAAAAUGUAUUAUUUGUGAAUUAUGUGAAUUAUGUGAUUUAUGUGUUUAUUUUCUUAAUUAUUAUAAUUUAAUGAAUUAAGAAUAAAAUAAGCGUCAAAAUUAAAGUGUGAGAUAAGCCCGAUAUCUUUGCAUAAAGUUGUAGUGGUUGAAACAAGGAUUCCGGAGAUAUAAGGAAUGCCAAAAUCCGAGUUAUAACUAAGAAGUUAUGACCUGUCGAAGUUUCGUGACAGAACCGGCACGACGUCGAGUGACGUAAAAAUAUGAAUUUAAGAUAGAGCGAUAUUUAGCCUUAGCGAUCUAAACGAAAGUCGUAGAUUUCGUUAAACCGAGAGCGUGCAUAAAAGGAACGCCCAAAUCUGACUUCGUAUGAGGAAGUUAUGAUUUUUCUAAGUUUCGACUUAGCAGUAUGCAGCCCGAAUACUCGAUUUGAGAUCGAGCGGUUUUUAGCCGAAACAAUCUAAAUGAGAAUCGAAGAUCUCGUUGUUAGUAGCGAAACGAUGAAAAGUUAGGCGAGAACGGACGUCAGACGAAGAAGUUAUGAAUUUAUAACGAAGUUUUUCUGUCCCGGCCUUCUAAAAAUAAAUAAUAAAAAUAAAAGUCAAAAUUAGCCGACGGAGUCUAAAUGAAAGUUGUAGAGUAUGGUCUGACCUUCGCGUGGAUAUAAAGAACGUCGAAAACGGAGCUCGUAUGCGAAAGUUACGCAAUUUAGAAGUUCGACGAGUCAAUUACGCCCCGCGUAAUUGAGUACGCCCCGCGUACUCAGUCGGAUGCAACUUGUCUGACCAAUACUCGAGUGCCACAGAUCGACGCAUGCAGUGACGUCAAAGUACGCCCCGCGUAACCGAGUACGCCCCGCGUACUGAGUACGCCCUGCGUAAUUUGAGAUUACGCCCCGCGUAAUCCCAGACCCUCAGCCUAUAAAUAGAACUCGAAAUCAGCCAUUUUCUCUUGUUCAAACUCUUCCCUCUCUCUAAGUUUUGCCUCGAUUUGCGUGCCAAUCAUAUCCCGAAGCCCCGGUAUCAUUCCCGAGCCCCGAAGCAAGAUCCGAAGCCCCGAGGAUCCCGAAGAGCGUUAUUCCCGAGCCGAAGCUCUGCCCGCGAGGAGUUCGAUUUUGGUGAAGAUCUUCCAGAUCUAUCAAAGUAUACUACUUCUAUAAGCCGUAGUGCUGUCGGAUCAUCUUCUGAUCAAGUGAGUGUGUAGUUAUUUUCUUUCCAACGCAAUAUUAUGAAGUAUUUAAUAUAAAAUACGUGCUACGUGUAUAUAUUUUGUGGUUAUAUGUGUGAAUGUAUAUUCACUCUCUUCUAUCUCAUAGAUCUGAUAUAUUCUCUAUGAAAUACGUGUUAUGUGUGUAUGCCUCAUCUGUUAUGUGGAAUAUGUAUUGAUUAAAGCAUGCUAUACAGGUUUUUAAACAAUGUAUAAAAAUGUAUAUUUUUAUCUACUAAUAUGUUGGGUAGAACAUGGGUAGAUAAUUGGUGUGAAAUAAACAGAUGAGAGGCCUCGGUGUUAUUGGUGUUAUUCUAGUCAUUCAGCAGAGUAUGGAUGACGACCACGGACUAUUCUAGACUGUCCUGUGGAACACUAGCAGGCUCAUUACCUGUAGGUGUUGUGAACGACGUGUUCACCGGUGUACUCUAUCCCCCACAUGGUUGCCUUUAGGACACUUAUUGUUGAGGAAGCCCCUCUGCAGUAAUGUCCGUCCCGAUGAAAAUCCUGAAAUAAGUUCCUUAUAAUAGACGUUAUUUUUAGGAACGUAAGGUGAGGAUAACGGGAAUGGGUAAUCGGGUUUAUUGUUGAUUGUUGUAAUUAAAUAUAAUUAUUGUGGGUUUGAAAACCCUAUAUGCUCACCAGGCUCCCAAGCCUGACCCACUCAGUUGAUUUGUAUUACAGGAAGUGGCGCAAGAGCUUAAGAUGGGCGAAUCAUCAAGUUGUUUUGUUUACAAGUCUGUAUAUGUAUAUAUUUGUUGAACGACUUGUAAUGUUAUCGUUUAUGCUUUAUGAUCUAUAUCGGAACAUGACAUCCCGACUUUUGAUUAUGAAAUGAAAUCAUAUUUCUAUAUGAAAUGUUUUGAUAAAUAUCUAUUUUAUCAUGUUUUGUUUUUGGGAACAAAUUUCGCAUCUCUUUUAAAAUCAAACGGAUUUACUCUGAAAAUGUUUAAAAAGCAUAAAUGAAAUCGGUCUUUUCUGGCCGAGAUUUUGGGGAUGUCACAGUUUCCAAAAACCAUGUGGUUUCAUAAUCAUAACUUUUGUUAUGAUUUUAUAACCUAGGUUGUGUUUCUUUUAACAUUAUGUAUAUCAUAAAUAUUUAUACCAAAAACUAGUAUGAUCCAUAACUUAUGCAAAUAUUUUAUCUUUAACAUAAAGAUGAAAACAUGUAAUUAUAUGUGGAAUAAAAAAGUUUUUACUUGUAUCCCCCCCCCCCCUAAAAACAUGGAAUAAGCUUGAAAAUAUGGGGGUAUGAACUCACCUUGAUGAUUUCGUGAGUUGAAUAGAGGAAAAGUGAAGGAGAUUUCGAGCUUAGCCUUGCACAAUUUGAGGAACACUCAAAAAUGGCUAGUGUUCCAUGGACUCUAGCACACGAAAAUGGUAUGUAAGCAAGGAGUUUGUAGCAUAACGAUGUUUAGAAAUACAAGAGACACAUGAGUUACUUACCAAAUGACUAGAGUUUUCUUGAAGCAAAACACCCUCCUUGAAGAUGGCACUCGAAAUGUUGAGAGGAAGAUGAGAGAAAUUCUUGAGAGUAAAGUGAGUGGGAAAGCUUUUGAGUGUGUGUAAGGGUGUUUGCAGCCGAACACUCCUUNUGGGGGGGGGGGGGGGGGGGUUGGUUGCUUUCCUUGUUAUUUGGUGGGUAAUUAGCUUAGAGACAUGGUGGAUAUUUAGCAUAGAAAUAUGGUGGUCAUUAGUACAUAUGAAUAGAUACAAGAUGGUUAACUGUAUUGAUGUUAGUGGGGUAAAGAUGAGGUGCCACCACCUUCUAGAAUUUCUUUUCUCUUUUUUUUUGUCCACUCCCAACCGAAAUCCAUAAGGUUUUUCGCCCUUAUGGCAUUUUCAUGGGAGUUUUUGGUUUUCGAGUGGUCGAAAACACACUUCCUUAGGGUUUUCGGUUUUAAGAUGGCCUAAUAAUGUGGGUUUUCGGUCAAGGGUUUCUUAGGGAUGGCAAAAAAAAACCUAAACCUGACGGGGAAACCCGAAACCCGAUUAUUUCGGGUCGGGUAACGGGUCGUUAUCGGGUUUUUUAUCGGUUUCGGGGCAGGGAGUGGGUUAUCCUCGCCCCGAACCGACCCGCCCCGAUUAUAUNAUAUAUAUAUAUAUAUACACACACACACACACACAAACACGCAUUCAAAGAUAAAAUACUUACUGUGGACAAUCUUUUUAAUUAUUAACAAUUCGGUGUGAAUGAUCAUUUAUUAUGUUUUGACCUAUUACACUAAAAUUAAAUCAAAUAAUUUUUAAUAUAACGUCGAGUUAAUUUUAUUAAAGUGAUUCAUCAUAUUUUUAAUUUAAAAGGGAGGCUAGAAUACGUAUUUUUUAUAAGACAUCGGGGUAACCUAAAACAGAAUAAAGAUUUCAUUAUGAAUUGUUGUAAACCCGAUAAGAUACCCAAAACCCGACGGGAAAACCUGAACCCAAUGGGGCACCCCGAUAAGAUACCUGAAAGAUAUCUCGGCGGGUUUGGGAAACCAUGCCCUGCCCCGAACCCGCCCCAUUUCCAUUCCUAGGGUUGCUCUAGCUUAAUGAUUUCAGUCCUUAGGCUUAUGGUCUUGGGUGAUUUCGGUUUUACUCUUCCCCACAAAGGAGUUUUCGGCCUUAGUGGGGUUCUAGGCCAUAAAUCAUUAAGAGAUGUUUAAUUUGUAAAAUCUUGUUGACUUAUAAAACAAUGCCCUUAUGGCUCUCAAGAGCUUAUUGCAACAGGGUUACAUGGUGGCUUCACUUGUACGGGGUUACGAUAUGGACUUUGCUUGAUCCAAAUCUUUCGGGUUGUCACGGUAGAGAUCCUAACACCUUUCGAUAUUCAGUGGGAUCAAUGGGUGUAGAGCCAUCAUUUUCUACAAGAGGUUCAAUUGUACUUAGAAGAGUGGCAACCUCUUUUUCUCCUUCCAUGUGGAAUUUUGUGAGGAUAUCGGUGAUGUGGUGAUGUUGCGAGAGAAACAAGCCUUUGGGUGUGGAGAUGACUUCUAUUCCCAGAAACUGAUGAAGAGUGCCCAUGUCUUUAAUUGAAAAUCUUUUGGAGAGGGUGUUGAUAAAGCGAUUCAAGGCCGUUAUGCAAUUUCCUGUUAAAACAAUGUCAUCCACAUAUACCAAGAAAUAUAUUGUUGUACCAUUAUGAUGAUAGAUAAAUAAUGAGGUGUCCGAUUCAGAUUUUUUAAAACCGGAAGCUAGCAGGAAGUUGGUAAGCUCGAUGUACCACGCACGUGGUGCUUGUUUGAGACCGUAUAAUGAGUUUUGGGGUUUGCAAAUAUGAUUUGGAAGUUGUUGGUUUUUGUACCCCGAUGGUUCGAUCAUAUAAACAUCUUCAUGAAAAAUGCCUUGUAGAAAAGCAUUAUUUACAUCGAGUUGUCAAAGUGGCCAGUUUUGAGCAAGAGAAAGUGAUAGGAUAAAGCGGAUAGUAACCAGUUUAUUCACCGCGCUAAAGGUUUCAAAGUAAUCUUUGCCCGAUUGUUGAUGAAAUCCCUUUAUGACUAGACGGGCUUUGUUCUUAUCUACAGACCCAUCGGUUUUUCUUUGACUUGGAAGACCCAUUUGCAUCCAAUAGGUUUAUGUGAAGAAGGGGGAAUAAGUUCCCAUUUUUGGUUGUGUAUAAGGGCAUUUUACUCGACAUCCAUAGCUUGAAUCCAGAGUGGGUCUUUGAUGGCUUGAGAGAUACUUGUAUGUCCAAGUGUGGGAGGUAUUAGGUGGGUUGUGGUGUUGUUUACAAACUUAUCACCAUAAUACUUGAGAUUUCAUUUAUGAGUUCUAGGGGAAGCGGGGUAGUGAAAUGGCUCAGAGAUAUUGGUGUGAUGGAUGGGAUUGGGUCGGGCUGACCGUCGGUAAGGUGGUAGAGGUUGGAGUGACCGGUAAGGGUUGUGUAGGAGAGUGAGUUUGUUGGAUAGGAGAGUUGGUGGAGUUUUGGGGUAUGUGAGAGGAUGAAGAUGUAGGGUCAGAGGGGAUAAUGGGUUGGUAAAUAGGUUGAACAUUGGGAUAUUUUAGAUGAGUAAGUGGUAUAUGGGUGUUUAUAGCAGGUGGUGGUGAAAGUGGUUGUAGAGAGGGAAAUGUAGUAAUGGAUAUGGGAUGGGUAUGAGAGAUAUUAGCAUCAAGGAAUGGGAAAAUGUGCUCAAUAAAUUGGACAUGUCUUGAGUAAUAGAGACAAUUUGUAGCGAUAUUCAUACAUUUGCAAGCUGAUUUUGAUGUAGAAUAGCCAAGAAAAAUGCAACGUGAAGAUUUUGGAUGGUAAGUAAGGUUUAAGCCAUGGGUAGCUAGCAUAAACAACCAAAUGGGUUGAGCUUGGUGUAGUUGGGAGAAUUCGAGUGUAUUUUUUCAAAAGGGGUGUUGGUGGUGAUUAUGGGAGUUGGUAGACGACUGAUCAAAUAUACCGCCGUUUGGAAAGCAUGUGACCAAAAAUGUAGGGGCAAACCGGCAUAAUUGUGGAGGGCUAAACCGGUUUCCACUAUGUGAUAAUGUCAUCUCUCGGCGGUACUAUUUUGCUCAGGUGUAUGUGGUGGUGUGGUGAAGUGAGAUAUGCCAAGGGAUUGAAAAAAGGGGUAUAAGAGCUUGAUAUUCGCCCCAUUAUUUGAAAAGAUUGAAAUUAUAGGUGUUUGGAAAUAAGUUUCAACCAGAUUUUUAAAGCGUGGGAAUACAACAUAAUCAUCUGAUUUAUGACGCAUAAGAUAUAGCCAGACAUACUUUGUGUGAAAGUCAACAAAGAUUACAUAAUAUUGGUAACCAUUAGUUGAUUUUUGAGUUGGGGCCCAAACCUUCCACGUAUAUGAAUUGCAAUGGUUUAGUUGUCACAAAUGAUGUGUCAUGAAAUGGUAUUUUAUGAAUUUUAUUUAUAGAGCAUGAAUGACAGUGGAAAUUGGAAUGCAACAUUUUAUUUGAAGUAAAACCAAGAGCUUUAAGAGUCUUGAUAGACGGAUAACCAAGACAAUGAUGUCAAUCAUUUAUCGAACGAGUUGAUAUGGUGUUCACUUGUGGAGAGAGGGAACCUGGAAUAUAGUAAACAUCAUGGUCGUUCACUCCCUGUAUGAUAGGUGUCCCCAUGUGAAUAUCCUUCACCAGAAAAUAAGAGGGAAAAAAUUUGACCGAAACUUUUAGUUUUGCAUAAUUUUGCAACAGAGACAAGGUUUCUAUGUAAUUUAGGCACACAUAAAACUUGUGAAAGGGAUAAAGUAUGUGAAGGAGUAGAAAUGUUUGUAUGACCAAUAUGGGAAAUAGAAAGACGUGUUCCAUCACCGAGGACGAUUUCAUCGAGGCCACCAUAGUCCGAUGGAGAAUUCAAGUUGGUGUGAUCUGAUAUGAUGUGAUUGGAGGCUCCACUAUCAAAGAGCCAAGGGGGUUGAACCGGGGCAGUUCGAGUUGUUGUGGUGUUAACAACAGAUACAGUAGAAAAUGUGAUAUUGUUCUCCGCAAGAAAUCGUGAGAGUUUACGACAAUCUUUUAUAUCAUGUCCAUUGAUUGAAUAGAAUUGGCAGAAGGUGUUGAAGCGAUUGGUGCGAGAACUGUUGGAGAAGGAAGGUUGUUUAGACCAUUGAGAUCAUUGUGUUUGAGAUGCACUACGGUUCUGUGACCGCUAAUUGGAGGUGGGCGAUCCGGUGCAAGAUGUUUGAAUGUGUAUGUAGUUAGUCAUGAGGGGAACGGGUGAUGUUGGUUCACUGUCUUUUAAAAAUCUCUCAAAAUCAACUAGUUUGUCAUAGAGUUCUGAGUAGGAGACAGGAGUAUCUCAGACUUUGAGAUUAGCAACAAUUGUUUUGUACUCAUCACCCAAUUGGUUCAAUGUGUGAAUCAUCAGGUCCUCAUCGUUGAUUGGGAUUUGAGCCAAGGCAAGUUCAUUGGUAAUGGACUGCAUAUCAUGUAGAAAUUCAGCAACUGUUUGUGAUCCCUUUGGAUUGGUUGUGUGUUUUGAUUUGAGAGAGAUUAUACGAGAACGAGAGUUGUUAGCAUAGCUUGUUGUAAGCCGCUGCCAUGCUUCUCGGGAUGUAUUUGCUGAUGAUAGAAGAGGCUAUAGGGCUUCGGUGCAACUACCUAGGAGUGCACUGAUCAGAAUUUGAUCUUGUCGGUACCAGUUAGAGUACUCAGAACUGCUGGAGAUGGGUGGUUUAGAGCUACCUUCGAUAAAAUGGUGAAGAUCUAAACCGGUCAAGGUGGAUAGUAUUUGUUUGCGCCAGACCGGGAAGUUUAAGGAACUGAGUUAUAUGGGAAAAUUUAUGGAGGCUGUAAGGUGGAAAAUGGUCGAUUUAGUAGUGGGAGGAGUUGCAGGUGCCAUGGUGGUGAUGAGUAAUGAGCAGGCUAGAAAAAGAUCGAAAUUUUUCUUAGGCUCUUGAUACCAUAUUAAUGUAUGACUUUUUGAAUAAUGAAUUACAUGAAAUAUGUGUUGAAUAUAUAACAAUUUACAAUAGGAAUUUUAGGAGCUAUUAAGGUGGAAAUAUUACAUACAAACAACUAAUUUAGGUAACAUAAUUAUGGAGAAGAUUAAGUUUUGCAAUAUGAUUGAGUCCAUGAUUUGUAAUCAUGGAGGCUGAUCCGUAAUAUGAAUAUUCUAGGAGACAAACAAAUCUCGUUCUUAAUUUUCUGCCUAGAAAAAGAGUUGUAAAUCUUUUUUAAUUCAGAUUCGUGAUAAGUAGUUGGAGACUAAUUUAGGAGCAGGAUUUUGAAAGGAUUUCGUGGGUGGUGCAAAGGGUAAACAACGGUCGCCGAAGAUGGUGGUGGUUAGUUUUAUCGAGGAAGUGGAUGAGUAAGCUUCAUGGGGGAAGGGACAGGAUCAUCAGGGAAGAUGAAUGGAGCUUUGGGUAUCUUAGUCAUUUUCAAUUUUGUUUCGGUGUGUUCCAUCCAAAAGGAUUGGACUAAAAAUUCAACAGUUGGUCCCCAUGGACUUGGUCAAAUCCCCACUCUGUUCUUGUUCCAGAUGUGCCAAACGCCUUCUAAAAAAAAUUGCUGUGUUCAGUUCCACUUAGUUCUUCUCACCAAACGUGGCCUAAUGGAAGAGUUAUAUGAUAGUAAAUUUCACACCAUAUUGUCGAUUUAAGCUCUUAUUUAUAGAACUUCUUCUCAUAUUCGGUUUUCAUCGGAUACUUAUGGUUUAGGUUAAAGAUUGGUGUCACUAAGCGAGAAGCACAAGUCCUUUUCCAAGGUUGAAAUUUAGUUUUGCGGUUUUAAUGGAUUUUCUAAACUCUAAUUUAAUAAAAUAAUUAGUUUUACAUAUCAAUCCACAAAAUUAUUUAAAAACCCAAACACGGGUAAUAUAAUAAGCAGAUUGACGGAUCAUAAAAAAUAAAAACUAAAUUGAAACCCAUUAUCUUCUAGUCAUAUCGUGUCUUGCUGCAAGUCUUAUCGAAAAUUAUCACUCCUAUCUUUAUUAAGUUGCUCUCAAAAGAAAUACAUUCGGCUGAUCGAAAUAAAUAAUUCUUUAAAUAAACCCAUUGGAGUAAUUAUUUAAUCCAAUAAAGAAUAUCAAUUUAUCAAUAAUUUAUCCAAUCUAACAUAGAAUAUUAUUUUUGUUACAAGACUGUGAUCAACAACAGUUGUCUCUGUAAUCCAGGCACACACUUCAAGCCACCUGGAUCAUAUUCAACCGAAACUUUGUAUAUAAAAUAUUUACGUAUCCGUCGGCCGUCGCUACAUACAUUCUAAUUCCACCGAACACAAUAUCCACUCAACCAACAUGUGCGUAAUCAUUAAUUUCUUAGUAGCAUAUAUACAUGUGCAAAACUUGACAGAAGUAUGUUGGUAAUUAUCUUUUAUGGACUAUUUUCAUAUAAAAGAUAUACAACGUUAUUAUAAUUUAUUGUGACAUGUACGAUAUUCAACUUUACUUAAAUGAAAUAGCAAUAUCAGGUGGUACCCUUCCUUCUUUAGGUCGAAGUUUUAAGUUCCGUCGUGGAUAUAGAUGAAAUUAGGUAUUAGUUUAAGUAUAGAUUAUAUAUUUAUAUUUGACGGUUAAAAAAAAAAUAUUUGACUAGAAUAGUUUCCUCCUUAAUCGGAAACUCUUUUAUUGGACCCAUUCAAAUUCGUAUUUUGCGGUAAUUAUUUGAUGUUUUGAUGUUGUCUAAAUUAAUAUUUUACAUUAUCUUUAUAAUAAAAUAUUUUAAUUAAUAACAAAAUAUAAUAGAAUGUUUUCUUAAAAUCCAUAUUUUGAUAUUAUAUAUAAGGGAGGAUACACAUUACACCAUGAUUUUGAAUCAGAAGAGAGAUUUCAAAAACUGACAGAUUUAUUCACUCUAUCAAUAAUCGAAUCGGAUCUGGAGUAUCAUAAGAGAUUUGUCUUUUCUAUUGAUUCAUAUUGAUUGGAUCCAAAACAAUUAUUAAAUGAGAUAUUUAUCUCCAGAUAUGAAUGAAAAACGACAUCUUUAUUGGUUUUGUGGUUAUACUUCCUAUUUUUUUAUGAAGAUAAUGAAUAUUUUUAUCGAAAGAUCAGAAAAAAGGGUCCAAAUUCCAUGCGGGAAUGUUUUGGAAGAGCCAAAACCAAAAUAGUGGUAUUUUCUAGCAACAACAUAACGGAGGCAACCAAUCAAUAUAUAUAUUGUUCGAAAUCUGAUUCAAGUCCAACAUAGCACCCAUAAGCACAUAAGAAAUGUGUUGAAUCGAUUCUUUUAAAUGAAUAGAUCCGAUUGCAACUUCAAAUAUGGAAUUUAAAGGGAUUAAAUAGAAAAUGAUACUAUGAAUCAUAGAACUCUAAUGAAAUAUAUGAUCAACCAACAUUUAUCAAAUUUGAAAAAGAGUCAAAAAAGAUGGUUUGAUCAUCUUUUUUUUCUCGAACCAAGAGAUCUAUGAAUCGGGAUCCUAAUCUCAUCUCAAUUUAAAAAAAAAAAUCAAAAUCUUAAAAACUUGUUACGAAUCAAUAAUUUAGACAAACCAAAAUGUAGAACAAUUUUUAAAAAAAUAUAAUAUAGUAAUUUUUAAACAUUGAAUGUAAUAUUUUUCUUUAAAAUGUCCCCUAAUAAAGAUUUCACACUUUAAAGGCAUUGAUGCUUUUAAAGGGGUUGAUGUAGGAUUUUCAAACCUAAAACGUAAAACAAUUUUAAUAAUAGAAUGUUUUACUUCCUAGAGAGUUGCUCCGUUUAAAGGGGUUGAUGUAGGAUUUUCAAAGCUAAAGCUUUUGCAUUUUCUGUAAUGAUGUUAUUUUAUUGUGUGACUAAGAGGUUGAGAAUGCACAUUGUAUAAUUCGGAUGUUAAGGUGCUUUUUCCUUGCCUCCGAUUUAAAAAUUAACUUGCAUAAAAGCAAGCUAAUUGGUGUAGGUGUGUGGUAUGCUAUAGUCGAAGAGGUUGCUAGGUUGAUUGGUUGUGUUGCGUCUCAGACUCCUUUUGUGUAUUUGGGGGUCCCCGUUGGUGAAAUUACCAAUCGUAUUUCUUCAUGGAAACUUGUUAUCGAUAAGUUUUUGCAUAGACUUUCUAAGUGGAAAGCUAAAUCCCUCUCUAUUGGGGGUCGUCUUACACUUUUAAAAUUUAUGCUUGGUAGUUUGGCCAUUUAUUAUACUGUUAUCUUUAGGGUUCCAGAAACAGUACUCAAGAUUCUAGAGAGGAUUCAAAUUAAUUUUUUUGGGGUGCUGAUAUUGGUAAACGCCAGUUGUUUUGGGUUAGUUGGAAUCAAGUUUUGGCUAGUAAAGAUAACGUAGGUCUUAGGUUUGGUAGUCUCUUCUCCUUCAACCAUGCUCUUAUUUUCAAAUAAAGGUGGCGAUUUUUUUUUUGCCGAUGGAGAUGCUCUUUGGGUGCAAGUCAUUAAAGCAAUUCAUGGGGACAAUGCUUAUCUUGAUUCAUAUUCAGUUCCUUCUAGAUGCUCCGGUCCUUGGUGUAAUAUUAUCAGGACCAUCUCUAAUUUACGUUCGAUGGACAUGGAUUUGACUGAGUAUGUUUCGGUUAAAAUGGGUAAAGGUGAUUGAACCCAUUUUUGGCAUGACUCCUAGUUGGGGCCGGCUCCUCUUAAGCUUCAUUUCCACAAAAUCUACGCCUUGGAGCAGCAUCGGGAUUGCCUCAUUGUCGAUAGGUCUAGCUCGGAUUCUCGUUUGUGUGCUUUGUGUAGAUUACCUAGAGGAGGUAUGGAGGAGGAACAAAUGUUUGAUCUUGAGAAUUGUUAGCUUCUUGCUCUUGGUCGGACACAGAUGACCAUCUUUUUUAGGAGUUGGAUUUGAAUGAUACUUUUAUGGUUUCUUCUGCGAGAUCUUUUCUUGAUAAUACAUCUCUCCCGAAUUCUAUGUAUGCGACUCGAUGUAAUUUUUUGGUUUCGAAUAAAUAAAAUGUGUUGCUUUGGUGGAUUAAGUUGAAUCGUAUCCCCACUCGUCUUUUCCUUUCGCAACGUGGUUUAGAGCUGAAUUCUAUUUUGUAUCCUAUCUGUGAGGUCAGUAGUGGAGUCGUCCAACCAUCUUUUUAUUUCUUGCCCAAAGUUGCACAUUGUGUGGUUCCUUAUUAGUAGGUGGUGAGAUAUCGUUUGUCCUAAUUCUUCUAUGAUUUACUCUUGGAUCACUUGGGCAGACUCAUCUUUUUCGGCUGGUCAAAAGAAAGGUUUUGAUGCGGUUGUUAUUAUUGUUUUUUCGGUGAUUUGGAAUUAUCAAAAUAAUUUGGUUUUUGAGACGGUCAAGCCUAAAACGUCUGCGAUUUUUGACGACAUAGUUUCUUUUUCGUAUUUUUGGAUUAUAAAUAAAUCUAAAAUUUGUAAUUUUAGCUAGAUAGGAGGACUGAAAAUUCUAACUAUGACUUCUUUUGACUUUGUAAUUUCUUUUUUUAGUUAAUUUCUACCGUUUAAAAAAAAUUCUCUAACUAUUUCCUCUUUAUAGCAAAAGAACCAAUAUAAUAAUAAUAAUAAUAAUAAUAAUAAUUUUGAGAAUACAACAUUGAAAAGACAUCAAAAAGAAAAUCAUAAAGGAAUAUAUGAAUAUGAUACAUUGCAUUCUCCACUUGCAUUAUCUACUUGUACGUACAACCUAACACCCCACACUGAACUCCAUAAAACCUUAUCACUCCCUUGAACUUUCUACAUUUCCCAACUCAAAAACACUCUCCUGUCCACACCAGUGGACGACGAUUGCUGAAAAAGCGACCACCGUCCACCACCACCGACAGCCGUCACCAUGUCCGUCAAAGAGUGCACCCACCACAAAAACAAGAGCAAAAAACUCUUCCGGAAACUCUUCGCCGGAUUCCUCAUCCUCGCCUUCCUCGUCCUCCUCACUUUCCUCAUCACAUGGGCAAUCCUUCAACCCCGAAAACCCAGAUUCACUCUCCAAGACGCCACCAUCUACUCCUUCAACGUCUCCGCCCCUAUCCUCCUCUCCUCCAACUUUCAGGUCACCAUCUCCUCCCAUAACCCCAACGACAGAAUCGGAGUUUACUACGAUAAACUCGACGUCUUCGCGUCUUACAAAAACCAGCAAAUCACUUACUUCACCGCCAUCCAGCCGGUGUACCAGGGCCACAAAGACAACAACGUCUGGUCGCCGUUUGUGUACGGAACCAAC